UGGCCGUGGCUAAUAAUAAGGCCCACCUCUUAGGGCCGUGGAGUGAAAUAAGUUUUCCAGGUAAUGCGCAGUAAAGCCCUCAGCCCUCCGCUGACGUUGCGUUAGGAAGGAGGAAGGGAGAGGUAAAUGCUGAGCCCGCAGGCGGCAGUCUGUGCCUCGGAGAGAAACUUUAUCCCAACCUUGCUGGGGGCCUUGACGCCCACCUUGCCCCAAGAGCACCCUGGCAGUCACCCCUGCCCUCUGGGGUCCUGCCACCCCGAGCCCGACCUUCCCCCUUUUCCCCCGCGCCGGGCCAACAGCCUCCUAACUGCGUCGUGCUCAUCACGGUCUGUCGUGCUCAUCACCUUUGCGUCGUUUCUUCGCUCCACAAACGUUUACUGAGCGCCUUCCACACGCCAGGCGCCAGACUCGCGCGGGGAAACAGGGAUAAGCACUGAGGAGGGGUCCCAGCCCUCAGCGAUGGGAUCUCAGAGCGGGAGAUAAAGGGUUGCCCAGAAGGGUGGUGAGUGGAAUAGCUGAUAUAAACAACGGGGGCGCGAUGAAAUACACAGGAGGGCUGCUAGUCACAUACGGGGCGGGUGCCGAGGGCCCUUGACUAAGGGAGGCUUCCUGGACGGGUGACACCCAAGCGGAGUCCUGACGACCUGCGUCAGAGGUAGCCAGGCGAGGAGGAGGGGAAAGGAAUCCACGUCCCGAGCAGAGAGGCAGCUUUCCCUACACAGCACAGGACACGGUCCGCGCACAGAAGCCGCAGGAGACGCAGGCACAGGGGCUGGGGAGAAUCCUUGCUGGGCCCUCGCCGCCUCCCUCUGCCGGGUGUCUGGUGCCAGCCUCCUGCCUGGCAGAGGAACUCCAGCCCCUGCUCCCGGAAGCCCCUCCAGGCCUUCGGCUUCCCUGACUGGGCAUGGGCCCCUCGUCCCCUCGGGUACGGGGCCGGUCUCCCCGCCCGCGGGCGGCGAAGUAAAGGCCCAGCGCAGCCCGCGCUCCUGCCCUGGGGCCUCGUCUUUCUCCAGGAAAACGUGGACCGCUCUCCGCCGACAGGUCUCUUCCACAGACCCCCGUCGCCUUCGCCCCCAGUCCCUUCCGGUUCUGUCUUUCCGCUGGCUCCGUACGAACAAGGAAGUCGCCCCCAGCGGAGCCCCGGCUCCCCCAGGCAGAGGCGGCCCCGGGGGCGGAGUCAACGGCGGAGGCCACGCCCUCUGUGAAAGGGCGGGGCAUGCAAAUUCGAAAUGAAAGCCCGGGAACGCCGGAAGAAGCACGGGUGUAAGAUUUCCCUUUUCAAAGGCGGAGAAUGAGAAAUCAGCCCGAGAGUGUAAGGGCGUCAAUAGCGCUGUGGACGAGACAGAGGGAAUGGGGCAAGGAGCGAGGCUGGGGCUCUCACCGCGACUUGAAUGUGGAUGAGAGUGGGACGGUGACGGCGGGCGCGAAGGCGACCGCAUCGCUUCUCGGCCUUUUGGCUAAGAUCAAGUGUAGUAUCUGUUCUUAUCAGUUUAAUAUCUGAUACGUCCUCUAUCCGAGGACAAUAUAUUAAAUGGAUUUUUGGAGCAGGGAGAUGGAAUAGGAGCUUGCUCCGUCCACUCCACGCAUCGACCUGGUAUUGCAGUACCUCCAGGAACGGUGCACCCCCUCCGGGGAUACAACGCGUCUCCUAAAAGUAGAGGGAGGUAAGAGACGGUAGCACCUGCGGGGCGGCUUGCACGCCGAGUGCCUGUGACGCGCCGGCUCGACUUAACUGUUUCCCUGAAGUACCGCGAGGUUCCUGAUCUGCGGGCGGUAGACGGUAGGCUUAUGCGGCACGCUUCCGUUUCCACCGUGACUACUGCGCUUCGGGAAGGCCACGACCUACUCCUUUGGGGAGGUCCUUAGGAUCUCGGCUUGGCAGUCGAGUGGGUGGCGACCUUUAAAAGGAAUGGGAUCCACCCGGAAUUGAACUUCCUUCUCCUCUCUCUAUCUCUCUAUCUGUCUGUCUGUCUGUCUGUCUCUGUCUGUCUGUCUGUCUAUCUCUCUCUCUCUCUCUCUCUCUCUCUGUCUCUCUGUCUCUCUGUCUCUCUCUCUCUCUCUCUCUCUCUCUCCCGCCCCGCCUCUCCCCGGCUCUUUUGGUUUCCCCCACCCCCUCCCAAGUUCUGGGGUACAUGUGCAGGACGUGCAGGUUUGGAACAUAGGUACACGUGUGCCACGGUGCUUUGCUGCACCUAGCCACCAGUCGUCUAGGUUUGAAGCCCCGCGUGCGUUGGCUAUUUGGCCUAAUGCUCUCUCUCCCCUUGCCCCCCACGCCCCGUCAGGGCCCGGCGUGUGAUGUUCCCCUCCCUGUGUCCCAUGUGUUCUCACUGUUCAACUCCCACUUAGGAGCGAGAACAUGCGGUGUUUGGUUUUCGCUUUCUGUGUGAGUUUGCUGAGAAUGAGGCCUUCCAGCUUCAUCCACGUUCCCGCAGAGGACAUGAACUCAUCCUUUUUUAUGGCUGCCUAGUAAUUCCAUGGUGUAUACGUGCCACACUUUCUUUAUCCAGCCUAUCAUUCAUGGGCAUUCGAGUUGGUUCCAAGUCUUUGCUAUUGUAAAUAGUGCUGCAGUAAACAUACGUGUCCACGUGUCUUCCUAGUAGGCACUUCUUCCUCUUCAGCCCGCUGAGUAGCUGGCACUUCAAGGCAGGUGCCAACGCACCGGCAGCAAGCUUCCUUUUUUGCCCGGGAAAAACUGAGGUGCAGGUAGUAUAAGCCAUUUAUCACGGAACGCACAGGAGCAGAGCUCGAGUCCAAGCAUCGUGGCUCCACCCGUCAUGCUUGAUGCAUCUUUAGGCUCCGCUCUAGGUAUGUGUAUCCUUUACGGGAUCAGCCACCGGCAGUUGCCUUGCGACCACGAUGACAAAUCUCUGCCGGCUCUUUUGGGUCUCAUCCCUGUAUCUAUACGUUGCAUCCCAACAUAAAGAUCGGAAUGUUCCUUUCGCUGACCCAGUCUCUCACCCUUUCCAAACUCCAGAAAUCUUGUCUGUCCUCGGAAGAACUCCCCCUGCUUCUUUCUCUAAAGGCUGUCUUCAGGCCGGGCACAGUGGGAGGAUCGCUUGAGCCCAGAAGGCCGCAGUGAGGUGAGAUCGCGCCAUUGCCCUGCAGCCCCGGCGGCAGAGCCGGAGCCCCGUCUCGAAACAAACAAACAAAAACCAACCAACCAACCAACACAGACAAAGAAAGAAAGAGCCCAGGCAACCUAGUGAAAACCUGUUCGGGCUGGGGCGUAUCUGUACCCCAGCUGUUCCAGAGGCUGAGGCCAGGAGGAUGGGUGGACGCUGGGAGGUGGAUGCUGCAGUGAGCAGUGAUUGCACCACUGCACUCCAGCCUGGGUGACAGAGCCAGACCCCGUCCCAAAUAAAUAAACAUAAAAAUAAAGGAACCAGUUUGUAGAAAGCGGGAGAGGGUCCCAUUGAACUUGAAGCCUUCGAGCAACAGCUGUGGCUGGACAGGUUGGACCAGCAGGCUGGAGCAGUCGCCAUCUUGGCAGGGAUCAUUGACCCUGAUCUAUCGUCGGGAGGAGGGAGAGCUGAUCUUACGCAGGGAGGGCAGGUGGACUAUGUGUGGACUCUGGUGAUCUGUUUGGGUGCCAGGUGUUACUCCCAGGGCCACCCGUAACUGUGAAUGUGCAGGAACCCUGACUUGAGAAGGGCCUGGCCACGGGGGGCUUAGGCCCCUGGGGAAUGAGAGUUUGGUUCCCGGUACCCAGGGAAACCACCAGCAUCGGCAGAGGUGAUAGCUGAGGAGGAGCGGGGAUUUGGACGAGAGACACAGGAUGAGUACCGGGGGCAGCCCCGUGAUCAACAACUGCUGCAAGAGGGGCUGUUUGUUCGACUCACUAGUCUUCUGCGGCUCUAUGCGGUACUAAAGAGCAGAAGACAGAAGAUACAAAAACCACAAAAAUUAGCCGGGCGUGGUGCUGCGCGUCAAUAAUCCCAGCUACUCGGGAGGCUGAGACAGGAGAAUCGCUUGAACCCGGGAGGCGGAAGUUUCAGCGAGCCGAGAUCACGCCAUUGCAGUCCAACCUGAGCGUCCGAGCGAGACUCUAUCUCAGAAAAUAAAGACAGGAUGAAAGAGCCCGGCGCGGUGGCUUACGCCUGUAAUCGCAGCGCUUUGGGAGGCCGAGGCGGGCGGAUCGCCUGAGGUCAGGAGCUCCAGACCAGCCUGGCCGACAUGGCGAAACCCCCUAAAAAUACAAAAAUUAGCCGGGCGUGGUGGCCUACGCCUGUAAUCCCAGCUACCCAGGAGGCCGAGGCAGGAGAAUCGCUGGAACCCGGGAGGUAGAGGCUGCAGUGAGCCGACAUCGCGCCACUGCACUCCAGCCUGGGCGACAGAGCAAGAGUUUGUCUCUCAAAAAAAAAAAAAAAGAAAAAAGAAAAAAAGCCUGGGUGAGCGGUGGCUCAAGCCUGUAAUCGCAAGCAACACUUUGGGAGGCGGCAGCUGGGCAGAUCACCGGAGGUCGGGAGUUGGAGACCAGCCUGACCAACAUGGAGAAACCCCGUCUGUACUAAAAAUACAAACUUAGCCGGGCGUGGUGGCACAUGCCCGUAGUCCCAGCUGCUCGGGAGGCUGAGGCAGGGGAAUCGCUUGAACCCGGGAGGCGGAGGUUGCAGAGAGCCUAGAUCGCGCCAUUGGACUCCAGGCUGGGUAACAAGAGCGGAACCUCCGUCUGAAAAAAAAAAAAAAAAGAAAAAAAUUGGGAGAAUUUUACUCCCACUGCCAUCAAAAUCUCAUGUGUAUAGCACAGCUCCAUUAGAACUGACCACAUUUCCAGGGCUCCCUAGAUACCUGUGGCUAGCGGCUGCCAUACUACACCGUGCUGGGCUGUAGAAUGGGGAUGACAAGACAGGGCGGCGGAGAUUGGGUUGGCGUGAAGUGAGGGAAACACUCGGCCGCAGGACAAAAAUAAAACAGCAAGGGGGCACCGAAAGACUCAGUAGUCCACAUGAAUAUCUUGAUUACCUUGUAGCUGAGAUAAUGUAGGGUCCACCCCUACCGGGUCUGUGGGUUUUCUCUUCGUGUGUGUGCGCGGAGACGAGAGAUCGUAGAGAUAAAGACAGAAGACAAAGAGAUAGGAAGAAAGACAGCUGGGCCCGGGGGACCACUGCCACCAAAGCGUGGAGGCAGACAGGUAGUGGCCCCGAAUGCCUGGAGGCGCUGCUAUUUAUUGUAGUCAAGGCAAGGGGGCAGGGUAAGGAGUGCCAGUCAUCUCCAAUGAUCGAUAGGUCACGCGAGUCACGUGUCCACUGGACAGGGGGCCUUUCCCUUUGUGGUAGCCGAGGUGGAGAGGGAGGACAGCAAACGUCAGCGUUUCUUCCAUGCACUUAUCAGAAAGAUCGAAGACUGUGGUACUUCUACUAAUUCUGCUACUGCUGUCUUCUAAGGACUUAAAAGGAGGAGCCAGGUGUACAGGCGGAACAUGAAAGUGAACAAGGAGCGUGACCACUGAAGCACAGCAUCACAGGGAGACGUUGAAGCCUCCGGAUGACUGCGGGCCGGCCUGGCUAAUGUCAGACCUCCCACAAGAGGUGGUGGAGCAGAGCGUUCUCUGUCUCCCCUGGAGAGAGGGAGAUUCCCUUUCUCGGUCUGCUAAGUAACGGGUGCCUUCCCAGGCACUGGGGCCACCGCUAGACCAAGGCCUGCUAAGUAACCAGGGCCUUCCCAGGCACUGGCAUUACCGCUAGGCCAAGGAGCCCUCCAGCGGCCCUUCUCUGGGCGUGAAUGAGGGCUCACGCUCUUGUCUUCUGGUCACCUCUCACUGUGGCCCUUCAGCUCCUAACUCUGUGUGGCCUGGUUUCCCCCGAGGUAAUCAUAACAGAACAGAGAUUAUUAUGGUAAUAGAACAAAGAGUAAUGCUACAAACUAAUGAUUAAUAAUAGUCAGAUAUAAUCCUAUCCGUUUCCUAUCUCUAGUAAAACUUUUCUUAUUCUAAUUAUUUUCUUUACUAUACUGGAACAGCUUGUGCCUUCAGGCUCUUGCCUGGGCACCUGGGUGGCUUGCGGCCCACAAGAUAAGAUAUAUUGCGUUGAACUAUAAUUUAUGUUGAUUGCUGAAUGAUUUAGGGCGGGGGGGGGGGGUGGGCGCCCCCUGAAAUUCUGCCCUGGAGCGGUGGCCUCACCCUAACCCUGGCCGUGGCUAAUAAUAAGGCCCACCUCUUAGGGCCGUGGAGUGAAAUAAGUUUUCCAGGUAAUGCGCAGUAAAGCCCUCAGCCCUCCGCUGACGUUGCGUUAGGAAGGAGGAAGGGAGAGGUAAAUGCUGAGCCCGCAGGCGGCAGUCUGUGCCUCGGAGAGAAACUUUAUCCCAACCUUGCUGGGGGCCUUGACGCCCACCUUGCCCCAAGAGCACCCUGGCAGUCACCCCUGCCCUCUGGGGUCCUGCCACCCCGAGCCCGACCUUCCCCCUUUUCCCCCGCGCCGGGCCAACAGCCUCCUAACUGCGUCGUGCUCAUCACGGUCUGUCGUGCUCAUCACCUUUGCGUCGUUUCUUCGCUCCACAAACGUUUACUGAGCGCCUUCCACACGCCAGGCGCCAGACUCGCGCGGGGAAACAGGGAUAAGCACUGAGGAGGGGUCCCAGCCCUCAGCGAUGGGAUCUCAGAGCGGGAGAUAAAGGGUUGCCCAGAAGGGUGGUGAGUGGAAUAGCUGAUAUAAACAACGGGGGCGCGAUGAAAUACACAGGAGGGCUGCUAGUCACAUACGGGGCGGGUGCCGAGGGCCCUUGACUAAGGGAGGCUUCCUGGACGGGUGACACCCAAGCGGAGUCCUGACGACCUGCGUCAGAGGUAGCCAGGCGAGGAGGAGGGGAAAGGAAUCCACGUCCCGAGCAGAGAGGCAGCUUUCCCUACACAGCACAGGACACGGUCCGCGCACAGAAGCCGCAGGAGACGCAGGCACAGGGGCUGGGGAGAAUCCUUGCUGGGCCCUCGCCGCCUCCCUCUGCCGGGUGUCUGGUGCCAGCCUCCUGCCUGGCAGAGGAACUCCAGCCCCUGCUCCCGGAAGCCCCUCCAGGCCUUCGGCUUCCCUGACUGGGCAUGGGCCCCUCGUCCCCUCGGGUACGGGGCCGGUCUCCCCGCCCGCGGGCGGCGAAGUAAAGGCCCAGCGCAGCCCGCGCUCCUGCCCUGGGGCCUCGUCUUUCUCCAGGAAAACGUGGACCGCUCUCCGCCGACAGGUCUCUUCCACAGACCCCCGUCGCCUUCGCCCCCAGUCCCUUCCGGUUCUGUCUUUCCGCUGGCUCCGUACGAACAAGGAAGUCGCCCCCAGCGGAGCCCCGGCUCCCCCAGGCAGAGGCGGCCCCGGGGGCGGAGUCAACGGCGGAGGCCACGCCCUCUGUGAAAGGGCGGGGCAUGCAAAUUCGAAAUGAAAGCCCGGGAACGCCGGAAGAAGCACGGGUGUAAGAUUUCCCUUUUCAAAGGCGGAGAAUGAGAAAUCAGCCCGAGAGUGUAAGGGCGUCAAUAGCGCUGUGGACGAGACAGAGGGAAUGGGGCAAGGAGCGAGGCUGGGGCUCUCACCGCGACUUGAAUGUGGAUGAGAGUGGGACGGUGACGGCGGGCGCGAAGGCGACCGCAUCGCUUCUCGGCCUUUUGGCUAAGAUCAAGUGUAGUAUCUGUUCUUAUCAGUUUAAUAUCUGAUACGUCCUCUAUCCGAGGACAAUAUAUUAAAUGGAUUUUUGGAGCAGGGAGAUGGAAUAGGAGCUUGCUCCGUCCACUCCACGCAUCGACCUGGUAUUGCAGUACCUCCAGGAACGGUGCACCCCCUCCGGGGAUACAACGCGUCUCCUAAAAGUAGAGGGAGGUAAGAGACGGUAGCACCUGCGGGGCGGCUUGCACGCCGAGUGCCUGUGACGCGCCGGCUCGACUUAACUGUUUCCCUGAAGUACCGCGAGGUUCCUGAUCUGCGGGCGGUAGACGGUAGGCUUAUGCGGCACGCUUCCGUUUCCACCGUGACUACUGCGCUUCGGGAAGGCCACGACCUACUCCUUUGGGGAGGUCCUUAGGAUCUCGGCUUGGCAGUCGAGUGGGUGGCGACCUUUAAAAGGAAUGGGAUCCACCCGGAAUUGAACUUCCUUCUCCUCUCUCUAUCUCUCUAUCUGUCUGUCUGUCUGUCUGUCUCUGUCUGUCUGUCUGUCUAUCUCUCUCUCUCUCUCUCUCUCUCUCUGUCUCUCUGUCUCUCUGUCUCUCUCUCUCUCUCUCUCUCUCUCUCCCGCCCCGCCUCUCCCCGGCUCUUUUGGUUUCCCCCACCCCCUCCCAAGUUCUGGGGUACAUGUGCAGGACGUGCAGGUUUGGAACAUAGGUACACGUGUGCCACGGUGCUUUGCUGCACCUAGCCACCAGUCGUCUAGGUUUGAAGCCCCGCGUGCGUUGGCUAUUUGGCCUAAUGCUCUCUCUCCCCUUGCCCCCCACGCCCCGUCAGGGCCCGGCGUGUGAUGUUCCCCUCCCUGUGUCCCAUGUGUUCUCACUGUUCAACUCCCACUUAGGAGCGAGAACAUGCGGUGUUUGGUUUUCGCUUUCUGUGUGAGUUUGCUGAGAAUGAGGCCUUCCAGCUUCAUCCACGUUCCCGCAGAGGACAUGAACUCAUCCUUUUUUAUGGCUGCCUAGUAAUUCCAUGGUGUAUACGUGCCACACUUUCUUUAUCCAGCCUAUCAUUCAUGGGCAUUCGAGUUGGUUCCAAGUCUUUGCUAUUGUAAAUAGUGCUGCAGUAAACAUACGUGUCCACGUGUCUUCCUAGUAGGCACUUCUUCCUCUUCAGCCCGCUGAGUAGCUGGCACUUCAAGGCAGGUGCCAACGCACCGGCAGCAAGCUUCCUUUUUUGCCCGGGAAAAACUGAGGUGCAGGUAGUAUAAGCCAUUUAUCACGGAACGCACAGGAGCAGAGCUCGAGUCCAAGCAUCGUGGCUCCACCCGUCAUGCUUGAUGCAUCUUUAGGCUCCGCUCUAGGUAUGUGUAUCCUUUACGGGAUCAGCCACCGGCAGUUGCCUUGCGACCACGAUGACAAAUCUCUGCCGGCUCUUUUGGGUCUCAUCCCUGUAUCUAUACGUUGCAUCCCAACAUAAAGAUCGGAAUGUUCCUUUCGCUGACCCAGUCUCUCACCCUUUCCAAACUCCAGAAAUCUUGUCUGUCCUCGGAAGAACUCCCCCUGCUUCUUUCUCUAAAGGCUGUCUUCAGGCCGGGCACAGUGGGAGGAUCGCUUGAGCCCAGAAGGCCGCAGUGAGGUGAGAUCGCGCCAUUGCCCUGCAGCCCCGGCGGCAGAGCCGGAGCCCCGUCUCGAAACAAACAAACAAAAACCAACCAACCAACCAACACAGACAAAGAAAGAAAGAGCCCAGGCAACCUAGUGAAAACCUGUUCGGGCUGGGGCGUAUCUGUACCCCAGCUGUUCCAGAGGCUGAGGCCAGGAGGAUGGGUGGACGCUGGGAGGUGGAUGCUGCAGUGAGCAGUGAUUGCACCACUGCACUCCAGCCUGGGUGACAGAGCCAGACCCCGUCCCAAAUAAAUAAACAUAAAAAUAAAGGAACCAGUUUGUAGAAAGCGGGAGAGGGUCCCAUUGAACUUGAAGCCUUCGAGCAACAGCUGUGGCUGGACAGGUUGGACCAGCAGGCUGGAGCAGUCGCCAUCUUGGCAGGGAUCAUUGACCCUGAUCUAUCGUCGGGAGGAGGGAGAGCUGAUCUUACGCAGGGAGGGCAGGUGGACUAUGUGUGGACUCUGGUGAUCUGUUUGGGUGCCAGGUGUUACUCCCAGGGCCACCCGUAACUGUGAAUGUGCAGGAACCCUGACUUGAGAAGGGCCUGGCCACGGGGGGCUUAGGCCCCUGGGGAAUGAGAGUUUGGUUCCCGGUACCCAGGGAAACCACCAGCAUCGGCAGAGGUGAUAGCUGAGGAGGAGCGGGGAUUUGGACGAGAGACACAGGAUGAGUACCGGGGGCAGCCCCGUGAUCAACAACUGCUGCAAGAGGGGCUGUUUGUUCGACUCACUAGUCUUCUGCGGCUCUAUGCGGUACUAAAGAGCAGAAGACAGAAGAUACAAAAACCACAAAAAUUAGCCGGGCGUGGUGCUGCGCGUCAAUAAUCCCAGCUACUCGGGAGGCUGAGACAGGAGAAUCGCUUGAACCCGGGAGGCGGAAGUUUCAGCGAGCCGAGAUCACGCCAUUGCAGUCCAACCUGAGCGUCCGAGCGAGACUCUAUCUCAGAAAAUAAAGACAGGAUGAAAGAGCCCGGCGCGGUGGCUUACGCCUGUAAUCGCAGCGCUUUGGGAGGCCGAGGCGGGCGGAUCGCCUGAGGUCAGGAGCUCCAGACCAGCCUGGCCGACAUGGCGAAACCCCCUAAAAAUACAAAAAUUAGCCGGGCGUGGUGGCCUACGCCUGUAAUCCCAGCUACCCAGGAGGCCGAGGCAGGAGAAUCGCUGGAACCCGGGAGGUAGAGGCUGCAGUGAGCCGACAUCGCGCCACUGCACUCCAGCCUGGGCGACAGAGCAAGAGUUUGUCUCUCAAAAAAAAAAAAAAAGAAAAAAGAAAAAAAGCCUGGGUGAGCGGUGGCUCAAGCCUGUAAUCGCAAGCAACACUUUGGGAGGCGGCAGCUGGGCAGAUCACCGGAGGUCGGGAGUUGGAGACCAGCCUGACCAACAUGGAGAAACCCCGUCUGUACUAAAAAUACAAACUUAGCCGGGCGUGGUGGCACAUGCCCGUAGUCCCAGCUGCUCGGGAGGCUGAGGCAGGGGAAUCGCUUGAACCCGGGAGGCGGAGGUUGCAGAGAGCCUAGAUCGCGCCAUUGGACUCCAGGCUGGGUAACAAGAGCGGAACCUCCGUCUGAAAAAAAAAAAAAAAAGAAAAAAAUUGGGAGAAUUUUACUCCCACUGCCAUCAAAAUCUCAUGUGUAUAGCACAGCUCCAUUAGAACUGACCACAUUUCCAGGGCUCCCUAGAUACCUGUGGCUAGCGGCUGCCAUACUACACCGUGCUGGGCUGUAGAAUGGGGAUGACAAGACAGGGCGGCGGAGAUUGGGUUGGCGUGAAGUGAGGGAAACACUCGGCCGCAGGACAAAAAUAAAACAGCAAGGGGGCACCGAAAGACUCAGUAGUCCACAUGAAUAUCUUGAUUACCUUGUAGCUGAGAUAAUGUAGGGUCCACCCCUACCGGGUCUGUGGGUUUUCUCUUCGUGUGUGUGCGCGGAGACGAGAGAUCGUAGAGAUAAAGACAGAAGACAAAGAGAUAGGAAGAAAGACAGCUGGGCCCGGGGGACCACUGCCACCAAAGCGUGGAGGCAGACAGGUAGUGGCCCCGAAUGCCUGGAGGCGCUGCUAUUUAUUGUAGUCAAGGCAAGGGGGCAGGGUAAGGAGUGCCAGUCAUCUCCAAUGAUCGAUAGGUCACGCGAGUCACGUGUCCACUGGACAGGGGGCCUUUCCCUUUGUGGUAGCCGAGGUGGAGAGGGAGGACAGCAAACGUCAGCGUUUCUUCCAUGCACUUAUCAGAAAGAUCGAAGACUGUGGUACUUCUACUAAUUCUGCUACUGCUGUCUUCUAAGGACUUAAAAGGAGGAGCCAGGUGUACAGGCGGAACAUGAAAGUGAACAAGGAGCGUGACCACUGAAGCACAGCAUCACAGGGAGACGUUGAAGCCUCCGGAUGACUGCGGGCCGGCCUGGCUAAUGUCAGACCUCCCACAAGAGGUGGUGGAGCAGAGCGUUCUCUGUCUCCCCUGGAGAGAGGGAGAUUCCCUUUCUCGGUCUGCUAAGUAACGGGUGCCUUCCCAGGCACUGGGGCCACCGCUAGACCAAGGCCUGCUAAGUAACCAGGGCCUUCCCAGGCACUGGCAUUACCGCUAGGCCAAGGAGCCCUCCAGCGGCCCUUCUCUGGGCGUGAAUGAGGGCUCACGCUCUUGUCUUCUGGUCACCUCUCACUGUGGCCCUUCAGCUCCUAACUCUGUGUGGCCUGGUUUCCCCCAAGGUAAUCAUAAUAGAACAGAGAUUAUUAUGGUAAUAGAACAAAGAGUAAUGCUACAAACUAAUGAUUAAUAAUAGUCAGAUAUAAUCCUAUCCGUUUCCUAUCUCUAGUAAAACUUUUCUUAUUCUAAUUAUUUUCUUUACUAUACUGGAACAGCUUGUGCCUUCAGGCUCUUGCCUGGGCACCUGGGUGGCUUGCGGCCCACAAGAUAAGAUAUAUUGCGUUGAACUAUAAUUUAUGUUGAUUGCUGAAUGAUUUAGGGCGGGGGGGGGGUGGGCGCCCCCUGAAAUUCUGCCCUGGAGCGGUGGCCUCACCCUAACCCUGGCCGUGGCUAAUAAUAAGGCCCACCUCUUAGGGCCGUGGAGUGAAAUAAGUUUUCCAGGUAAUGCGUAGUAAAGCCCUCAGCCCUCCGCUGACGUUGCGUUAGGAAGGAGGAAGGGAGAGGUAAAUGCUGAGCCCGCAGGCGGCAGUCUGUGCCUCGGAGAGAAACUUUAUCCCAACCUUGCUGGGGGCCUUGACGCCCACCUUGCCCCAAGAGCACCCCGGCAGUCACCCCUGCCCUCUGGGGUCCUGCCACCCCGAGCCCGACCUUCCCCCUUUUCCCCCGCGCCGGGCCAACAGCCUCCUAACUGCGUCGUGCUCAUCACGGUCUGUCGUGCUCAUCACCUUUGCGUCGUUUCUUCGCUCCACAAACGUUUACUGAGCGCCUUCCACACGCCAGGCGCCAGACUCGCGCGGGGAAACAGGGAUAAGCACUGAGGAGGGGUCCCAGCCCUCAGCGAUGGGAUCUCAGAGCGGGAGAUAAAGGGUUGCCCAGAAGGGUGGUGAGUGGAAUAGCUGAUAUAAACAACGGGGGCGCGAUGAAAUACACAGGAGGGCUGCUAGUCACAUACGGGGCGGGUGCCGAGGGCCCUUGACUAAGGGAGGCUUCCUGGACGGGUGACACCCAAGCGGAGUCCUGACGACCUGCGUCAGAGGUAGCCAGGCGAGGAGGAGGGGAAAGGAAUCCACGUCCCGAGCAGAGAGGCAGCUUUCCCUACACAGCACAGGACACGGUCCGCGCACAGAAGCCGCAGGAGACGCAGGCACAGGGGCUGGGGAGAAUCCUUGCUGGGCCCUCGCCGCCUCCCUCUGCCGGGUGUCUGGUGCCAGCCUCCUGCCUGGCAGAGGAACUCCAGCCCCUGCUCCCGGAAGCCCCUCCAGGCCUUCGGCUUCCCUGACUGGGCAUGGGCCCCUCGUCCCCUCGGGUACGGGGCCGGUCUCCCCGCCCGCGGGCGGCGAAGUAAAGGCCCAGCGCAGCCCGCGCUCCUGCCCUGGGGCCUCGUCUUUCUCCAGGAAAACGUGGACCGCUCUCCGCCGACAGGUCUCUUCCACAGACCCCCGUCGCCUUCGCCCCCAGUCCCUUCCGGUUCUGUCUUUCCGCUGGCUCCGUACGAACAAGGAAGUCGCCCCCAGCGGAGCCCCGGCUCCCCCAGGCAGAGGCGGCCCCGGGGGCGGAGUCAACGGCGGAGGCCACGCCCUCUGUGAAAGGGCGGGGCAUGCAAAUUCGAAAUGAAAGCCCGGGAACGCCGGAAGAAGCACGGGUGUAAGAUUUCCCUUUUCAAAGGCGGAGAAUGAGAAAUCAGCCCGAGAGUGUAAGGGCGUCAAUAGCGCUGUGGACGAGACAGAGGGAAUGGGGCAAGGAGCGAGGCUGGGGCUCUCACCGCGACUUGAAUGUGGAUGAGAGUGGGACGGUGACGGCGGGCGCGAAGGCGACCGCAUCGCUUCUCGGCCUUUUGGCUAAGAUCAAGUGUAGUAUCUGUUCUUAUCAGUUUAAUAUCUGACACGUCCUCUAUCCGAGGACAAUAUAUUAAAUGGAUUUUUGGAGCAGGGAGAUGGAAUAGGAGCUUGCUCCGUCCACUCCACGCAUCGACCUGGUAUUGCAGUACCUCCAGGAACGGUGCACCCCCUCCGGGGAUACAACGCGUCUCCUAAAAGUAGAGGGAGGUAAGAGACGGUAGCACCUGCGGGGCGGCUUGCACGCCGAGUGCCUGUGACGCGCCGGCUCGACUUAACUGUUUCCCUGAAGUACCGCGAGGUUCCUGAUCUGCGGGCGGUAGACGGUAGGCUUAUGCGGCACGCUUCCGUUUCCACCGUGACUACUGCGCUUCGGGAAGGCCACGACCUACUCCUUUGGGGAGGUCCUUAGGAUCUCGGCUUGGCAGUCGAGUGGGUGGCGACCUUUAAAAGGAAUGGGAUCCACCCGGAAUUGAACUUCCUUCUCCUCUCUCUAUCUCUCUAUCUGUCUGUCUGUCUGUCUGUCUCUGUCUGUCUGUCUGUCUAUCUCUCUCUCUCUCUCUCUCUCUCUCUGUCUCUCUGUCUCUCUGUCUCUCUCUCUCUCUCUCUCUCUCUCUCCCGCCCCGCCUCUCCCCGGCUCUUUUGGUUUCCCCCACCCCCUCCCAAGUUCUGGGGUACAUGUGCAGGACGUGCAGGUUUGGAACAUAGGUACACGUGUGCCACGGUGCUUUGCUGCACCUAGCCACCAGUCGUCUAGGUUUGAAGCCCCGCGUGCGUUGGCUAUUUGGCCUAAUGCUCUCUCUCCCCUUGCCCCCCACGCCCCGUCAGGGCCCGGCGUGUGAUGUUCCCCUCCCUGUGUCCCAUGUGUUCUCACUGUUCAACUCCCACUUAGGAGCGAGAACAUGCGGUGUUUGGUUUUCGCUUUCUGUGUGAGUUUGCUGAGAAUGAGGCCUUCCAGCUUCAUCCACGUUCCCGCAGAGGACAUGAACUCAUCCUUUUUUAUGGCUGCCUAGUAAUUCCAUGGUGUAUACGUGCCACACUUUCUUUAUCCAGCCUAUCAUUCAUGGGCAUUCGAGUUGGUUCCAAGUCUUUGCUAUUGUAAAUAGUGCUGCAGUAAACAUACGUGUCCACGUGUCUUCCUAGUAGGCACUUCUUCCUCUUCAGCCCGCUGAGUAGCUGGCACUUCAAGGCAGGUGCCAACGCACCGGCAGCAAGCUUCCUUUUUUGCCCGGGAAAAACUGAGGUGCAGGUAGUAUAAGCCAUUUAUCACGGAACGCACAGGAGCAGAGCUCGAGUCCAAGCAUCGUGGCUCCACCCGUCAUGCUUGAUGCAUCUUUAGGCUCCGCUCUAGGUAUGUGUAUCCUUUACGGGAUCAGCCACCGGCAGUUGCCUUGCGACCACGAUGACAAAUCUCUGCCGGCUCUUUUGGGUCUCAUCCCUGUAUCUAUACGUUGCAUCCCAACAUAAAGAUCGGAAUGUUCCUUUCGCUGACCCAGUCUCUCACCCUUUCCAAACUCCAGAAAUCUUGUCUGUCCUCGGAAGAACUCCCCCUGCUUCUUUCUCUAAAGGCUGUCUUCAGGCCGGGCACAGUGGGAGGAUCGCUUGAGCCCAGAAGGCCGCAGUGAGGUGAGAUCGCGCCAUUGCCCUGCAGCCCCGGCGGCAGAGCCGGAGCCCCGUCUCGAAACAAACAAACAAAAACCAACCAACCAACCAACACAGACAAAGAAAGAAAGAGCCCAGGCAACCUAGUGAAAACCUGUUCGGGCUGGGGCGUAUCUGUACCCCAGCUGUUCCAGAGGCUGAGGCCAGGAGGAUGGGUGGACGCUGGGAGGUGGAUGCUGCAGUGAGCAGUGAUUGCACCACUGCACUCCAGCCUGGGUGACAGAGCCAGACCCCGUCCCAAAUAAAUAAACAUAAAAAUAAAGGAACCAGUUUGUAGAAAGCGGGAGAGGGUCCCAUUGAACUUGAAGCCUUCGAGCAACAGCUGUGGCUGGACAGGUUGGACCAGCAGGCUGGAGCAGUCGCCAUCUUGGCAGGGAUCAUUGACCCUGAUCUAUCGUCGGGAGGAGGGAGAGCUGAUCUUACGCAGGGAGGGCAGGUGGACUAUGUGUGGACUCUGGUGAUCUGUUUGGGUGCCAGGUGUUACUCCCAGGGCCACCCGUAACUGUGAAUGUGCAGGAACCCUGACUUGAGAAGGGCCUGGCCACGGGGGGCUUAGGCCCCUGGGGAAUGAGAGUUUGGUUCCCGGUACCCAGGGAAACCACCAGCAUCGGCAGAGGUGAUAGCUGAGGAGGAGCGGGGAUUUGGACGAGAGACACAGGAUGAGUACCGGGGGCAGCCCCGUGAUCAACAACUGCUGCAAGAGGGGCUGUUUGUUCGACUCACUAGUCUUCUGCGGCUCUAUGCGGUACUAAAGAGCAGAAGACAGAAGAUACAAAAACCACAAAAAUUAGCCGGGCGUGGUGCUGCGCGUCAAUAAUCCCAGCUACUCGGGAGGCUGAGACAGGAGAAUCGCUUGAACCCGGGAGGCGGAAGUUUCAGCGAGCCGAGAUCACGCCAUUGCAGUCCAACCUGAGCGUCCGAGCGAGACUCUAUCUCAGAAAAUAAAGACAGGAUGAAAGAGCCCGGCGCGGUGGCUUACGCCUGUAAUCGCAGCGCUUUGGGAGGCCGAGGCGGGCGGAUCGCCUGAGGUCAGGAGCUCCAGACCAGCCUGGCCGACAUGGCGAAACCCCCUAAAAAUACAAAAAUUAGCCGGGCGUGGUGGCCUACGCCUGUAAUCCCAGCUACCCAGGAGGCCGAGGCAGGAGAAUCGCUGGAACCCGGGAGGUAGAGGCUGCAGUGAGCCGACAUCGCGCCACUGCACUCCAGCCUGGGCGACAGAGCAAGAGUUUGUCUCUCAAAAAAAAAAAAAAAGAAAAAAGAAAAAAAGCCUGGGUGAGCGGUGGCUCAAGCCUGUAAUCGCAAGCAACACUUUGGGAGGCGGCAGCUGGGCAGAUCACCGGAGGUCGGGAGUUGGAGACCAGCCUGACCAACAUGGAGAAACCCCGUCUGUACUAAAAAUACAAACUUAGCCGGGCGUGGUGGCACAUGCCCGUAGUCCCAGCUGCUCGGGAGGCUGAGGCAGGGGAAUCGCUUGAACCCGGGAGGCGGAGGUUGCAGAGAGCCUAGAUCGCGCCAUUGGACUCCAGGCUGGGUAACAAGAGCGGAACCUCCGUCUGAAAAAAAAAAAAAAAAGAAAAAAAUUGGGAGAAUUUUACUCCCACUGCCAUCAAAAUCUCAUGUGUAUAGCACAGCUCCAUUAGAACUGACCACAUUUCCAGGGCUCCCUAGAUACCUGUGGCUAGCGGCUGCCAUACUACACCGUGCUGGGCUGUAGAAUGGGGAUGACAAGACAGGGCGGCGGAGAUUGGGUUGGCGUGAAGUGAGGGAAACACUCGGCCGCAGGACAAAAAUAAAACAGCAAGGGGGCACCGAAAGACUCAGUAGUCCACAUGAAUAUCUUGAUUACCUUGUAGCUGAGAUAAUGUAGGGUCCACCCCUACCGGGUCUGUGGGUUUUCUCUUCGUGUGUGUGCGCGGAGACGAGAGAUCGUAGAGAUAAAGACAGAAGACAAAGAGAUAGGAAGAAAGACAGCUGGGCCCGGGGGACCACUGCCACCAAAGCGUGGAGGCAGACAGGUAGUGGCCCCGAAUGCCUGGAGGCGCUGCUAUUUAUUGUAGUCAAGGCAAGGGGGCAGGGUAAGGAGUGCCAGUCAUCUCCAAUGAUCGAUAGGUCACGCGAGUCACGUGUCCACUGGACAGGGGGCCUUUCCCUUUGUGGUAGCCGAGGUGGAGAGGGAGGACAGCAAACGUCAGCGUUUCUUCCAUGCACUUAUCAGAAAGAUCGAAGACUGUGGUACUUCUACUAAUUCUGCUACUGCUGUCUUCUAAGGACUUAAAAGGAGGAGCCAGGUGUACAGGCGGAACAUGAAAGUGAACAAGGAGCGUGACCACUGAAGCACAGCAUCACAGGGAGACGUUGAAGCCUCCGGAUGACUGCGGGCCGGCCUGGCUAAUGUCAGACCUCCCACAAGAGGUGGUGGAGCAGAGCGUUCUCUGUCUCCCCUGGAGAGAGGGAGAUUCCCUUUCUCGGUCUGCUAAGUAACGGGUGCCUUCCCAGGCACUGGGGCCACCGCUAGACCAAGGCCUGCUAAGUAACCAGGGCCUUCCCAGGCACUGGCAUUACCGCUAGGCCAAGGAGCCCUCCAGCGGCCCUUCUCUGGGCGUGAAUGAGGGCUCACGCUCUUGUCUUCUGGUCACCUCUCACUGUGGCCCUUCAGCUCCUAACUCUGUGUGGCCUGGUUUCCCCCAAGGUAAUCAUAAUAGAACAGAGAUUAUUAUGGUAAUAGAACAAAGAGUAAUGCUACAAACUAAUGAUUAAUAAUAGUCAGAUAUAAUCCUAUCCGUUUCCUAUCUCUAGUAAAACUUUUCUUAUUCUAAUUAUUUUCUUUACUAUACUGGAACAGCUUGUGCCUUCAGGCUCUUGCCUGGGCACCUGGGUGGCUUGCGGCCCACAAGAUAAGAUAUAUUGCGUUGAACUAUAAUUUAUGUUGAUUGCUGAAUGAUUUAGGGCGGGGGGGGGGUGGGCGCCCCCUGAAAUUCUGCCCUGGAGCGGUGGCCUCACCCUAACCCUGGCCGUGGCUAAUAAUAAGGCCCACCUCUUAGGGCCGUGGAGUGAAAUAAGUUUUCCAGGUAAUGCGUAGUAAAGCCCUCAGCCCUCCGCUGACGUUGCGUUAGGAAGGAGGAAGGGAGAGGUAAAUGCUGAGCCCGCAGGCGGCAGUCUGUGCCUCGGAGAGAAACUUUAUCCCAACCUUGCUGGGGGCCUUGACGCCCACCUUGCCCCAAGAGCACCCCGGCAGUCACCCCUGCCCUCUGGGGUCCUGCCACCCCGAGCCCGACCUUCCCCCUUUUCCCCCGCGCCGGGCCAACAGCCUCCUAACUGCGUCGUGCUCAUCACGGUCUGUCGUGCUCAUCACCUUUGCGUCGUUUCUUCGCUCCACAAACGUUUACUGAGCGCCUUCCACACGCCAGGCGCCAGACUCGCGCGGGGAAACAGGGAUAAGCACUGAGGAGGGGUCCCAGCCCUCAGCGAUGGGAUCUCAGAGCGGGAGAUAAAGGGUUGCCCAGAAGGGUGGUGAGUGGAAUAGCUGAUAUAAACAACGGGGGCGCGAUGAAAUACACAGGAGGGCUGCUAGUCACAUACGGGGCGGGUGCCGAGGGCCCUUGACUAAGGGAGGCUUCCUGGACGGGUGACACCCAAGCGGAGUCCUGACGACCUGCGUCAGAGGUAGCCAGGCGAGGAGGAGGGGAAAGGAAUCCACGUCCCGAGCAGAGAGGCAGCUUUCCCUACACAGCACAGGACACGGUCCGCGCACAGAAGCCGCAGGAGACGCAGGCACAGGGGCUGGGGAGAAUCCUUGCUGGGCCCUCGCCGCCUCCCUCUGCCGGGUGUCUGGUGCCAGCCUCCUGCCUGGCAGAGGAACUCCAGCCCCUGCUCCCGGAAGCCCCUCCAGGCCUUCGGCUUCCCUGACUGGGCAUGGGCCCCUCGUCCCCUCGGGUACGGGGCCGGUCUCCCCGCCCGCGGGCGGCGAAGUAAAGGCCCAGCGCAGCCCGCGCUCCUGCCCUGGGGCCUCGUCUUUCUCCAGGAAAACGUGGACCGCUCUCCGCCGACAGGUCUCUUCCACAGACCCCCGUCGCCUUCGCCCCCAGUCCCUUCCGGUUCUGUCUUUCCGCUGGCUCCGUACGAACAAGGAAGUCGCCCCCAGCGGAGCCCCGGCUCCCCCAGGCAGAGGCGGCCCCGGGGGCGGAGUCAACGGCGGAGGCCACGCCCUCUGUGAAAGGGCGGGGCAUGCAAAUUCGAAAUGAAAGCCCGGGAACGCCGGAAGAAGCACGGGUGUAAGAUUUCCCUUUUCAAAGGCGGAGAAUGAGAAAUCAGCCCGAGAGUGUAAGGGCGUCAAUAGCGCUGUGGACGAGACAGAGGGAAUGGGGCAAGGAGCGAGGCUGGGGCUCUCACCGCGACUUGAAUGUGGAUGAGAGUGGGACGGUGACGGCGGGCGCGAAGGCGACCGCAUCGCUUCUCGGCCUUUUGGCUAAGAUCAAGUGUAGUAUCUGUUCUUAUCAGUUUAAUAUCUGACACGUCCUCUAUCCGAGGACAAUAUAUUAAAUGGAUUUUUGGAGCAGGGAGAUGGAAUAGGAGCUUGCUCCGUCCACUCCACGCAUCGACCUGGUAUUGCAGUACCUCCAGGAACGGUGCACCCCCUCCGGGGAUACAACGCGUCUCCUAAAAGUAGAGGGAGGUAAGAGACGGUAGCACCUGCGGGGCGGCUUGCACGCCGAGUGCCUGUGACGCGCCGGCUCGACUUAACUGUUUCCCUGAAGUACCGCGAGGUUCCUGAUCUGCGGGCGGUAGACGGUAGGCUUAUGCGGCACGCUUCCGUUUCCACCGUGACUACUGCGCUUCGGGAAGGCCACGACCUACUCCUUUGGGGAGGUCCUUAGGAUCUCGGCUUGGCAGUCGAGUGGGUGGCGACCUUUAAAAGGAAUGGGAUCCACCCGGAAUUGAACUUCCUUCUCCUCUCUCUAUCUCUCUAUCUGUCUGUCUGUCUGUCUGUCUCUGUCUGUCUGUCUGUCUAUCUCUCUCUCUCUCUCUCUCUCUCUCUGUCUCUCUGUCUCUCUGUCUCUCUCUCUCUCUCUCUCUCUCUCUCCCGCCCCGCCUCUCCCCGGCUCUUUUGGUUUCCCCCACCCCCUCCCAAGUUCUGGGGUACAUGUGCAGGACGUGCAGGUUUGGAACAUAGGUACACGUGUGCCACGGUGCUUUGCUGCACCUAGCCACCAGUCGUCUAGGUUUGAAGCCCCGCGUGCGUUGGCUAUUUGGCCUAAUGCUCUCUCUCCCCUUGCCCCCCACGCCCCGUCAGGGCCCGGCGUGUGAUGUUCCCCUCCCUGUGUCCCAUGUGUUCUCACUGUUCAACUCCCACUUAGGAGCGAGAACAUGCGGUGUUUGGUUUUCGCUUUCUGUGUGAGUUUGCUGAGAAUGAGGCCUUCCAGCUUCAUCCACGUUCCCGCAGAGGACAUGAACUCAUCCUUUUUUAUGGCUGCCUAGUAAUUCCAUGGUGUAUACGUGCCACACUUUCUUUAUCCAGCCUAUCAUUCAUGGGCAUUCGAGUUGGUUCCAAGUCUUUGCUAUUGUAAAUAGUGCUGCAGUAAACAUACGUGUCCACGUGUCUUCCUAGUAGGCACUUCUUCCUCUUCAGCCCGCUGAGUAGCUGGCACUUCAAGGCAGGUGCCAACGCACCGGCAGCAAGCUUCCUUUUUUGCCCGGGAAAAACUGAGGUGCAGGUAGUAUAAGCCAUUUAUCACGGAACGCACAGGAGCAGAGCUCGAGUCCAAGCAUCGUGGCUCCACCCGUCAUGCUUGAUGCAUCUUUAGGCUCCGCUCUAGGUAUGUGUAUCCUUUACGGGAUCAGCCACCGGCAGUUGCCUUGCGACCACGAUGACAAAUCUCUGCCGGCUCUUUUGGGUCUCAUCCCUGUAUCUAUACGUUGCAUCCCAACAUAAAGAUCGGAAUGUUCCUUUCGCUGACCCAGUCUCUCACCCUUUCCAAACUCCAGAAAUCUUGUCUGUCCUCGGAAGAACUCCCCCUGCUUCUUUCUCUAAAGGCUGUCUUCAGGCCGGGCACAGUGGGAGGAUCGCUUGAGCCCAGAAGGCCGCAGUGAGGUGAGAUCGCGCCAUUGCCCUGCAGCCCCGGCGGCAGAGCCGGAGCCCCGUCUCGAAACAAACAAACAAAAACCAACCAACCAACCAACACAGACAAAGAAAGAAAGAGCCCAGGCAACCUAGUGAAAACCUGUUCGGGCUGGGGCGUAUCUGUACCCCAGCUGUUCCAGAGGCUGAGGCCAGGAGGAUGGGUGGACGCUGGGAGGUGGAUGCUGCAGUGAGCAGUGAUUGCACCACUGCACUCCAGCCUGGGUGACAGAGCCAGACCCCGUCCCAAAUAAAUAAACAUAAAAAUAAAGGAACCAGUUUGUAGAAAGCGGGAGAGGGUCCCAUUGAACUUGAAGCCUUCGAGCAACAGCUGUGGCUGGACAGGUUGGACCAGCAGGCUGGAGCAGUCGCCAUCUUGGCAGGGAUCAUUGACCCUGAUCUAUCGUCGGGAGGAGGGAGAGCUGAUCUUACGCAGGGAGGGCAGGUGGACUAUGUGUGGACUCUGGUGAUCUGUUUGGGUGCCAGGUGUUACUCCCAGGGCCACCCGUAACUGUGAAUGUGCAGGAACCCUGACUUGAGAAGGGCCUGGCCACGGGGGGCUUAGGCCCCUGGGGAAUGAGAGUUUGGUUCCCGGUACCCAGGGAAACCACCAGCAUCGGCAGAGGUGAUAGCUGAGGAGGAGCGGGGAUUUGGACGAGAGACACAGGAUGAGUACCGGGGGCAGCCCCGUGAUCAACAACUGCUGCAAGAGGGGCUGUUUGUUCGACUCACUAGUCUUCUGCGGCUCUAUGCGGUACUAAAGAGCAGAAGACAGAAGAUACAAAAACCACAAAAAUUAGCCGGGCGUGGUGCUGCGCGUCAAUAAUCCCAGCUACUCGGGAGGCUGAGACAGGAGAAUCGCUUGAACCCGGGAGGCGGAAGUUUCAGCGAGCCGAGAUCACGCCAUUGCAGUCCAACCUGAGCGUCCGAGCGAGACUCUAUCUCAGAAAAUAAAGACAGGAUGAAAGAGCCCGGCGCGGUGGCUUACGCCUGUAAUCGCAGCGCUUUGGGAGGCCGAGGCGGGCGGAUCGCCUGAGGUCAGGAGCUCCAGACCAGCCUGGCCGACAUGGCGAAACCCCCUAAAAAUACAAAAAUUAGCCGGGCGUGGUGGCCUACGCCUGUAAUCCCAGCUACCCAGGAGGCCGAGGCAGGAGAAUCGCUGGAACCCGGGAGGUAGAGGCUGCAGUGAGCCGACAUCGCGCCACUGCACUCCAGCCUGGGCGACAGAGCAAGAGUUUGUCUCUCAAAAAAAAAAAAAAAGAAAAAAGAAAAAAAGCCUGGGUGAGCGGUGGCUCAAGCCUGUAAUCGCAAGCAACACUUUGGGAGGCGGCAGCUGGGCAGAUCACCGGAGGUCGGGAGUUGGAGACCAGCCUGACCAACAUGGAGAAACCCCGUCUGUACUAAAAAUACAAACUUAGCCGGGCGUGGUGGCACAUGCCCGUAGUCCCAGCUGCUCGGGAGGCUGAGGCAGGGGAAUCGCUUGAACCCGGGAGGCGGAGGUUGCAGAGAGCCUAGAUCGCGCCAUUGGACUCCAGGCUGGGUAACAAGAGCGGAACCUCCGUCUGAAAAAAAAAAAAAAAAGAAAAAAAUUGGGAGAAUUUUACUCCCACUGCCAUCAAAAUCUCAUGUGUAUAGCACAGCUCCAUUAGAACUGACCACAUUUCCAGGGCUCCCUAGAUACCUGUGGCUAGCGGCUGCCAUACUACACCGUGCUGGGCUGUAGAAUGGGGAUGACAAGACAGGGCGGCGGAGAUUGGGUUGGCGUGAAGUGAGGGAAACACUCGGCCGCAGGACAAAAAUAAAACAGCAAGGGGGCACCGAAAGACUCAGUAGUCCACAUGAAUAUCUUGAUUACCUUGUAGCUGAGAUAAUGUAGGGUCCACCCCUACCGGGUCUGUGGGUUUUCUCUUCGUGUGUGUGCGCGGAGACGAGAGAUCGUAGAGAUAAAGACAGAAGACAAAGAGAUAGGAAGAAAGACAGCUGGGCCCGGGGGACCACUGCCACCAAAGCGUGGAGGCAGACAGGUAGUGGCCCCGAAUGCCUGGAGGCGCUGCUAUUUAUUGUAGUCAAGGCAAGGGGGCAGGGUAAGGAGUGCCAGUCAUCUCCAAUGAUCGAUAGGUCACGCGAGUCACGUGUCCACUGGACAGGGGGCCUUUCCCUUUGUGGUAGCCGAGGUGGAGAGGGAGGACAGCAAACGUCAGCGUUUCUUCCAUGCACUUAUCAGAAAGAUCGAAGACUGUGGUACUUCUACUAAUUCUGCUACUGCUGUCUUCUAAGGACUUAAAAGGAGGAGCCAGGUGUACAGGCGGAACAUGAAAGUGAACAAGGAGCGUGACCACUGAAGCACAGCAUCACAGGGAGACGUUGAAGCCUCCGGAUGACUGCGGGCCGGCCUGGCUAAUGUCAGACCUCCCACAAGAGGUGGUGGAGCAGAGCGUUCUCUGUCUCCCCUGGAGAGAGGGAGAUUCCCUUUCUCGGUCUGCUAAGUAACGGGUGCCUUCCCAGGCACUGGGGCCACCGCUAGACCAAGGCCUGCUAAGUAACCAGGGCCUUCCCAGGCACUGGCAUUACCGCUAGGCCAAGGAGCCCUCCAGCGGCCCUUCUCUGGGCGUGAAUGAGGGCUCACGCUCUUGUCUUCUGGUCACCUCUCACUGUGGCCCUUCAGCUCCUAACUCUGUGUGGCCUGGUUUCCCCCGAGGUAAUCAUAACAGAACAGAGAUUAUUAUGGUAAUAGAACAAAGAGUAAUGCUACAAACUAAUGAUUAAUAAUAGUCAGAUAUAAUCCUAUCCGUUUCCUAUCUCUAGUAAAACUUUUCUUAUUCUAAUUAUUUUCUUUACUAUACUGGAACAGCUUGUGCCUUCAGGCUCUUGCCUGGGCACCUGGGUGGCUUGCGGCCCACAAGAUAAGAUAUAUUGCGUUGAACUAUAAUUUAUGUUGAUUGCUGAAUGAUUUAGGGCGGGGGGGGGGGGUGGGCGCCCCCUGAAAUUCUGCCCUGGAGCGGUGGCCUCACCCUAACCCUGGCCGUGGCUAAUAAUAAGGCCCACCUCUUAGGGCCGUGGAGUGAAAUAAGUUUUCCAGGUAAUGCGCAGUAAAGCCCUCAGCCCUCCGCUGACGUUGCGUUAGGAAGGAGGAAGGGAGAGGUAAAUGCUGAGCCCGCAGGCGGCAGUCUGUGCCUCGGAGAGAAACUUUAUCCCAACCUUGCUGGGGGCCUUGACGCCCACCUUGCCCCAAGAGCACCCUGGCAGUCACCCCUGCCCUCUGGGGUCCUGCCACCCCGAGCCCGACCUUCCCCCUUUUCCCCCGCGCCGGGCCAACAGCCUCCUAACUGCGUCGUGCUCAUCACGGUCUGUCGUGCUCAUCACCUUUGCGUCGUUUCUUCGCUCCACAAACGUUUACUGAGCGCCUUCCACACGCCAGGCGCCAGACUCGCGCGGGGAAACAGGGAUAAGCACUGAGGAGGGGUCCCAGCCCUCAGCGAUGGGAUCUCAGAGCGGGAGAUAAAGGGUUGCCCAGAAGGGUGGUGAGUGGAAUAGCUGAUAUAAACAACGGGGGCGCGAUGAAAUACACAGGAGGGCUGCUAGUCACAUACGGGGCGGGUGCCGAGGGCCCUUGACUAAGGGAGGCUUCCUGGACGGGUGACACCCAAGCGGAGUCCUGACGACCUGCGUCAGAGGUAGCCAGGCGAGGAGGAGGGGAAAGGAAUCCACGUCCCGAGCAGAGAGGCAGCUUUCCCUACACAGCACAGGACACGGUCCGCGCACAGAAGCCGCAGGAGACGCAGGCACAGGGGCUGGGGAGAAUCCUUGCUGGGCCCUCGCCGCCUCCCUCUGCCGGGUGUCUGGUGCCAGCCUCCUGCCUGGCAGAGGAACUCCAGCCCCUGCUCCCGGAAGCCCCUCCAGGCCUUCGGCUUCCCUGACUGGGCAUGGGCCCCUCGUCCCCUCGGGUACGGGGCCGGUCUCCCCGCCCGCGGGCGGCGAAGUAAAGGCCCAGCGCAGCCCGCGCUCCUGCCCUGGGGCCUCGUCUUUCUCCAGGAAAACGUGGACCGCUCUCCGCCGACAGGUCUCUUCCACAGACCCCCGUCGCCUUCGCCCCCAGUCCCUUCCGGUUCUGUCUUUCCGCUGGCUCCGUACGAACAAGGAAGUCGCCCCCAGCGGAGCCCCGGCUCCCCCAGGCAGAGGCGGCCCCGGGGGCGGAGUCAACGGCGGAGGCCACGCCCUCUGUGAAAGGGCGGGGCAUGCAAAUUCGAAAUGAAAGCCCGGGAACGCCGGAAGAAGCACGGGUGUAAGAUUUCCCUUUUCAAAGGCGGAGAAUGAGAAAUCAGCCCGAGAGUGUAAGGGCGUCAAUAGCGCUGUGGACGAGACAGAGGGAAUGGGGCAAGGAGCGAGGCUGGGGCUCUCACCGCGACUUGAAUGUGGAUGAGAGUGGGACGGUGACGGCGGGCGCGAAGGCGACCGCAUCGCUUCUCGGCCUUUUGGCUAAGAUCAAGUGUAGUAUCUGUUCUUAUCAGUUUAAUAUCUGAUACGUCCUCUAUCCGAGGACAAUAUAUUAAAUGGAUUUUUGGAGCAGGGAGAUGGAAUAGGAGCUUGCUCCGUCCACUCCACGCAUCGACCUGGUAUUGCAGUACCUCCAGGAACGGUGCACCCCCUCCGGGGAUACAACGCGUCUCCUAAAAGUAGAGGGAGGUAAGAGACGGUAGCACCUGCGGGGCGGCUUGCACGCCGAGUGCCUGUGACGCGCCGGCUCGACUUAACUGUUUCCCUGAAGUACCGCGAGGUUCCUGAUCUGCGGGCGGUAGACGGUAGGCUUAUGCGGCACGCUUCCGUUUCCACCGUGACUACUGCGCUUCGGGAAGGCCACGACCUACUCCUUUGGGGAGGUCCUUAGGAUCUCGGCUUGGCAGUCGAGUGGGUGGCGACCUUUAAAAGGAAUGGGAUCCACCCGGAAUUGAACUUCCUUCUCCUCUCUCUAUCUCUCUAUCUGUCUGUCUGUCUGUCUGUCUCUGUCUGUCUGUCUGUCUAUCUCUCUCUCUCUCUCUCUCUCUCUCUGUCUCUCUGUCUCUCUGUCUCUCUCUCUCUCUCUCUCUCUCUCUCCCGCCCCGCCUCUCCCCGGCUCUUUUGGUUUCCCCCACCCCCUCCCAAGUUCUGGGGUACAUGUGCAGGACGUGCAGGUUUGGAACAUAGGUACACGUGUGCCACGGUGCUUUGCUGCACCUAGCCACCAGUCGUCUAGGUUUGAAGCCCCGCGUGCGUUGGCUAUUUGGCCUAAUGCUCUCUCUCCCCUUGCCCCCCACGCCCCGUCAGGGCCCGGCGUGUGAUGUUCCCCUCCCUGUGUCCCAUGUGUUCUCACUGUUCAACUCCCACUUAGGAGCGAGAACAUGCGGUGUUUGGUUUUCGCUUUCUGUGUGAGUUUGCUGAGAAUGAGGCCUUCCAGCUUCAUCCACGUUCCCGCAGAGGACAUGAACUCAUCCUUUUUUAUGGCUGCCUAGUAAUUCCAUGGUGUAUACGUGCCACACUUUCUUUAUCCAGCCUAUCAUUCAUGGGCAUUCGAGUUGGUUCCAAGUCUUUGCUAUUGUAAAUAGUGCUGCAGUAAACAUACGUGUCCACGUGUCUUCCUAGUAGGCACUUCUUCCUCUUCAGCCCGCUGAGUAGCUGGCACUUCAAGGCAGGUGCCAACGCACCGGCAGCAAGCUUCCUUUUUUGCCCGGGAAAAACUGAGGUGCAGGUAGUAUAAGCCAUUUAUCACGGAACGCACAGGAGCAGAGCUCGAGUCCAAGCAUCGUGGCUCCACCCGUCAUGCUUGAUGCAUCUUUAGGCUCCGCUCUAGGUAUGUGUAUCCUUUACGGGAUCAGCCACCGGCAGUUGCCUUGCGACCACGAUGACAAAUCUCUGCCGGCUCUUUUGGGUCUCAUCCCUGUAUCUAUACGUUGCAUCCCAACAUAAAGAUCGGAAUGUUCCUUUCGCUGACCCAGUCUCUCACCCUUUCCAAACUCCAGAAAUCUUGUCUGUCCUCGGAAGAACUCCCCCUGCUUCUUUCUCUAAAGGCUGUCUUCAGGCCGGGCACAGUGGGAGGAUCGCUUGAGCCCAGAAGGCCGCAGUGAGGUGAGAUCGCGCCAUUGCCCUGCAGCCCCGGCGGCAGAGCCGGAGCCCCGUCUCGAAACAAACAAACAAAAACCAACCAACCAACCAACACAGACAAAGAAAGAAAGAGCCCAGGCAACCUAGUGAAAACCUGUUCGGGCUGGGGCGUAUCUGUACCCCAGCUGUUCCAGAGGCUGAGGCCAGGAGGAUGGGUGGACGCUGGGAGGUGGAUGCUGCAGUGAGCAGUGAUUGCACCACUGCACUCCAGCCUGGGUGACAGAGCCAGACCCCGUCCCAAAUAAAUAAACAUAAAAAUAAAGGAACCAGUUUGUAGAAAGCGGGAGAGGGUCCCAUUGAACUUGAAGCCUUCGAGCAACAGCUGUGGCUGGACAGGUUGGACCAGCAGGCUGGAGCAGUCGCCAUCUUGGCAGGGAUCAUUGACCCUGAUCUAUCGUCGGGAGGAGGGAGAGCUGAUCUUACGCAGGGAGGGCAGGUGGACUAUGUGUGGACUCUGGUGAUCUGUUUGGGUGCCAGGUGUUACUCCCAGGGCCACCCGUAACUGUGAAUGUGCAGGAACCCUGACUUGAGAAGGGCCUGGCCACGGGGGGCUUAGGCCCCUGGGGAAUGAGAGUUUGGUUCCCGGUACCCAGGGAAACCACCAGCAUCGGCAGAGGUGAUAGCUGAGGAGGAGCGGGGAUUUGGACGAGAGACACAGGAUGAGUACCGGGGGCAGCCCCGUGAUCAACAACUGCUGCAAGAGGGGCUGUUUGUUCGACUCACUAGUCUUCUGCGGCUCUAUGCGGUACUAAAGAGCAGAAGACAGAAGAUACAAAAACCACAAAAAUUAGCCGGGCGUGGUGCUGCGCGUCAAUAAUCCCAGCUACUCGGGAGGCUGAGACAGGAGAAUCGCUUGAACCCGGGAGGCGGAAGUUUCAGCGAGCCGAGAUCACGCCAUUGCAGUCCAACCUGAGCGUCCGAGCGAGACUCUAUCUCAGAAAAUAAAGACAGGAUGAAAGAGCCCGGCGCGGUGGCUUACGCCUGUAAUCGCAGCGCUUUGGGAGGCCGAGGCGGGCGGAUCGCCUGAGGUCAGGAGCUCCAGACCAGCCUGGCCGACAUGGCGAAACCCCCUAAAAAUACAAAAAUUAGCCGGGCGUGGUGGCCUACGCCUGUAAUCCCAGCUACCCAGGAGGCCGAGGCAGGAGAAUCGCUGGAACCCGGGAGGUAGAGGCUGCAGUGAGCCGACAUCGCGCCACUGCACUCCAGCCUGGGCGACAGAGCAAGAGUUUGUCUCUCAAAAAAAAAAAAAAAGAAAAAAGAAAAAAAGCCUGGGUGAGCGGUGGCUCAAGCCUGUAAUCGCAAGCAACACUUUGGGAGGCGGCAGCUGGGCAGAUCACCGGAGGUCGGGAGUUGGAGACCAGCCUGACCAACAUGGAGAAACCCCGUCUGUACUAAAAAUACAAACUUAGCCGGGCGUGGUGGCACAUGCCCGUAGUCCCAGCUGCUCGGGAGGCUGAGGCAGGGGAAUCGCUUGAACCCGGGAGGCGGAGGUUGCAGAGAGCCUAGAUCGCGCCAUUGGACUCCAGGCUGGGUAACAAGAGCGGAACCUCCGUCUGAAAAAAAAAAAAAAAAGAAAAAAAUUGGGAGAAUUUUACUCCCACUGCCAUCAAAAUCUCAUGUGUAUAGCACAGCUCCAUUAGAACUGACCACAUUUCCAGGGCUCCCUAGAUACCUGUGGCUAGCGGCUGCCAUACUACACCGUGCUGGGCUGUAGAAUGGGGAUGACAAGACAGGGCGGCGGAGAUUGGGUUGGCGUGAAGUGAGGGAAACACUCGGCCGCAGGACAAAAAUAAAACAGCAAGGGGGCACCGAAAGACUCAGUAGUCCACAUGAAUAUCUUGAUUACCUUGUAGCUGAGAUAAUGUAGGGUCCACCCCUACCGGGUCUGUGGGUUUUCUCUUCGUGUGUGUGCGCGGAGACGAGAGAUCGUAGAGAUAAAGACAGAAGACAAAGAGAUAGGAAGAAAGACAGCUGGGCCCGGGGGACCACUGCCACCAAAGCGUGGAGGCAGACAGGUAGUGGCCCCGAAUGCCUGGAGGCGCUGCUAUUUAUUGUAGUCAAGGCAAGGGGGCAGGGUAAGGAGUGCCAGUCAUCUCCAAUGAUCGAUAGGUCACGCGAGUCACGUGUCCACUGGACAGGGGGCCUUUCCCUUUGUGGUAGCCGAGGUGGAGAGGGAGGACAGCAAACGUCAGCGUUUCUUCCAUGCACUUAUCAGAAAGAUCGAAGACUGUGGUACUUCUACUAAUUCUGCUACUGCUGUCUUCUAAGGACUUAAAAGGGGGAGCCAGGUGUACAGGCGGAACAUGAAAGUGAACAAGGAGCGUGACCACUGAAGCACAGCAUCACAGGGAGACGUUGAAGCCUCCGGAUGACUGCGGGCCGGCCUGGCUAAUGUCAGACCUCCCACAAGAGGUGGUGGAGCAGAGCGUUCUCUGUCUCCCCUGGAGAGAGGGAGAUUCCCUUUCUCGGUCUGCUAAGUAACGGGUGCCUUCCCAGGCACUGGGGCCACCGCUAGACCAAGGCCUGCUAAGUAACCAGGGCCUUCCCAGGCACUGGCAUUACCGCUAGGCCAAGGAGCCCUCCAGCGGCCCUUCUCUGGGCGUGAAUGAGGGCUCACGCUCUUGUCUUCUGGUCACCUCUCACUGUGGCCCUUCAGCUCCUAACUCUGUGUGGCCUGGUUUCCCCCGAGGUAAUCAUAAUAGAACAGAGAUUAUUAUGGUAAUAGAACAAAGAGUAAUGCUACAAACUAAUGAUUAAUAAUAGUCAGAUAUAAUCCUAUCCGUUUCCUAUCUCUAGUAAAACUUUUCUUAUUCUAAUUAUUUUCUUUACUAUACUGGAACAGCUUGUGCCUUCAGGCUCUUGCCUGGGCACCUGGGUGGCUUGCGGCCCACAAGAUAAGAUAUAUUGCGUUGAACUAUAAUUUAUGUUGAUUGCUGAAUGAUUUAGGGCGGGGGGGGGGUGGGCGCCCCCUGAAAUUCUGCCCUGGAGCGGUGGCCUCACCCUAACCCUGGCCGUGGCUAAUAAUAAGGCCCACCUCUUAGGGCCGUGGAGUGAAAUAAGUUUUCCAGGUAAUGCGCAGUAAAGCCCUCAGCCCUCCGCUGACGUUGCGUUAGGAAGGAGGAAGGGAGAGGUAAAUGCUGAGCCCGCAGGCGGCAGUCUGUGCCUCGGAGAGAAACUUUAUCCCAACCUUGCUGGGGGCCUUGACGCCCACCUUGCCCCAAGAGCACCCCGGCAGUCACCCCUGCCCUCUGGGGUCCUGCCACCCCGAGCCCGACCUUCCCCCUUUUCCCCCGCGCCGGGCCAACAGCCUCCUAACUGCGUCGUGCUCAUCACGGUCUGUCGUGCUCAUCACCUUUGCGUCGUUUCUUCGCUCCACAAACGUUUACUGAGCGCCUUCCACACGCCAGGCGCCAGACUCGCGCGGGGAAACAGGGAUAAGCACUGAGGAGGGGUCCCAGCCCUCAGCGAUGGGAUCUCAGAGCGGGAGAUAAAGGGUUGCCCAGAAGGGUGGUGAGUGGAAUAGCUGAUAUAAACAACGGGGGCGCGAUGAAAUACACAGGAGGGCUGCUAGUCACAUACGGGGCGGGUGCCGAGGGCCCUUGACUAAGGGAGGCUUCCUGGACGGGUGACACCCAAGCGGAGUCCUGACGACCUGCGUCAGAGGUAGCCAGGCGAGGAGGAGGGGAAAGGAAUCCACGUCCCGAGCAGAGAGGCAGCUUUCCCUACACAGCACAGGACACGGUCCGCGCACAGAAGCCGCAGGAGACGCAGGCACAGGGGCUGGGGAGAAUCCUUGCUGGGCCCUCGCCGCCUCCCUCUGCCGGGUGUCUGGUGCCAGCCUCCUGCCUGGCAGAGGAACUCCAGCCCCUGCUCCCGGAAGCCCCUCCAGGCCUUCGGCUUCCCUGACUGGGCAUGGGCCCCUCGUCCCCUCGGGUACGGGGCCGGUCUCCCCGCCCGCGGGCGGCGAAGUAAAGGCCCAGCGCAGCCCGCGCUCCUGCCCUGGGGCCUCGUCUUUCUCCAGGAAAACGUGGACCGCUCUCCGCCGACAGGUCUCUUCCACAGACCCCCGUCGCCUUCGCCCCCAGUCCCUUCCGGUUCUGUCUUUCCGCUGGCUCCGUACGAACAAGGAAGUCGCCCCCAGCGGAGCCCCGGCUCCCCCAGGCAGAGGCGGCCCCGGGGGCGGAGUCAACGGCGGAGGCCACGCCCUCUGUGAAAGGGCGGGGCAUGCAAAUUCGAAAUGAAAGCCCGGGAACGCCGGAAGAAGCACGGGUGUAAGAUUUCCCUUUUCAAAGGCGGAGAAUGAGAAAUCAGCCCGAGAGUGUAAGGGCGUCAAUAGCGCUGUGGACGAGACAGAGGGAAUGGGGCAAGGAGCGAGGCUGGGGCUCUCACCGCGACUUGAAUGUGGAUGAGAGUGGGACGGUGACGGCGGGCGCGAAGGCGACCGCAUCGCUUCUCGGCCUUUUGGCUAAGAUCAAGUGUAGUAUCUGUUCUUAUCAGUUUAAUAUCUGAUACGUCCUCUAUCCGAGGACAAUAUAUUAAAUGGAUUUUUGGAGCAGGGAGAUGGAAUAGGAGCUUGCUCCGUCCACUCCACGCAUCGACCUGGUAUUGCAGUACCUCCAGGAACGGUGCACCCCCUCCGGGGAUACAACGCGUCUCCUAAAAGUAGAGGGAGGUAAGAGACGGUAGCACCUGCGGGGCGGCUUGCACGCCGAGUGCCUGUGACGCGCCGGCUCGACUUAACUGUUUCCCUGAAGUACCGCGAGGUUCCUGAUCUGCGGGCGGUAGACGGUAGGCUUAUGCGGCACGCUUCCGUUUCCACCGUGACUACUGCGCUUCGGGAAGGCCACGACCUACUCCUUUGGGGAGGUCCUUAGGAUCUCGGCUUGGCAGUCGAGUGGGUGGCGACCUUUAAAAGGAAUGGGAUCCACCCGGAAUUGAACUUCCUUCUCCUCUCUCUAUCUCUCUAUCUGUCUGUCUGUCUGUCUGUCUCUGUCUGUCUGUCUGUCUAUCUCUCUCUCUCUCUCUCUCUCUCUCUGUCUCUCUGUCUCUCUGUCUCUCUCUCUCUCUCUCUCUCUCUCUCCCGCCCCGCCUCUCCCCGGCUCUUUUGGUUUCCCCCACCCCCUCCCAAGUUCUGGGGUACAUGUGCAGGACGUGCAGGUUUGGAACAUAGGUACACGUGUGCCACGGUGCUUUGCUGCACCUAGCCACCAGUCGUCUAGGUUUGAAGCCCCGCGUGCGUUGGCUAUUUGGCCUAAUGCUCUCUCUCCCCUUGCCCCCCACGCCCCGUCAGGGCCCGGCGUGUGAUGUUCCCCUCCCUGUGUCCCAUGUGUUCUCACUGUUCAACUCCCACUUAGGAGCGAGAACAUGCGGUGUUUGGUUUUCGCUUUCUGUGUGAGUUUGCUGAGAAUGAGGCCUUCCAGCUUCAUCCACGUUCCCGCAGAGGACAUGAACUCAUCCUUUUUUAUGGCUGCCUAGUAAUUCCAUGGUGUAUACGUGCCACACUUUCUUUAUCCAGCCUAUCAUUCAUGGGCAUUCGAGUUGGUUCCAAGUCUUUGCUAUUGUAAAUAGUGCUGCAGUAAACAUACGUGUCCACGUGUCUUCCUAGUAGGCACUUCUUCCUCUUCAGCCCGCUGAGUAGCUGGCACUUCAAGGCAGGUGCCAACGCACCGGCAGCAAGCUUCCUUUUUUGCCCGGGAAAAACUGAGGUGCAGGUAGUAUAAGCCAUUUAUCACGGAACGCACAGGAGCAGAGCUCGAGUCCAAGCAUCGUGGCUCCACCCGUCAUGCUUGAUGCAUCUUUAGGCUCCGCUCUAGGUAUGUGUAUCCUUUACGGGAUCAGCCACCGGCAGUUGCCUUGCGACCACGAUGACAAAUCUCUGCCGGCUCUUUUGGGUCUCAUCCCUGUAUCUAUACGUUGCAUCCCAACAUAAAGAUCGGAAUGUUCCUUUCGCUGACCCAGUCUCUCACCCUUUCCAAACUCCAGAAAUCUUGUCUGUCCUCGGAAGAACUCCCCCUGCUUCUUUCUCUAAAGGCUGUCUUCAGGCCGGGCACAGUGGGAGGAUCGCUUGAGCCCAGAAGGCCGCAGUGAGGUGAGAUCGCGCCAUUGCCCUGCAGCCCCGGCGGCAGAGCCGGAGCCCCGUCUCGAAACAAACAAACAAAAACCAACCAACCAACCAACACAGACAAAGAAAGAAAGAGCCCAGGCAACCUAGUGAAAACCUGUUCGGGCUGGGGCGUAUCUGUACCCCAGCUGUUCCAGAGGCUGAGGCCAGGAGGAUGGGUGGACGCUGGGAGGUGGAUGCUGCAGUGAGCAGUGAUUGCACCACUGCACUCCAGCCUGGGUGACAGAGCCAGACCCCGUCCCAAAUAAAUAAACAUAAAAAUAAAGGAACCAGUUUGUAGAAAGCGGGAGAGGGUCCCAUUGAACUUGAAGCCUUCGAGCAACAGCUGUGGCUGGACAGGUUGGACCAGCAGGCUGGAGCAGUCGCCAUCUUGGCAGGGAUCAUUGACCCUGAUCUAUCGUCGGGAGGAGGGAGAGCUGAUCUUACGCAGGGAGGGCAGGUGGACUAUGUGUGGACUCUGGUGAUCUGUUUGGGUGCCAGGUGUUACUCCCAGGGCCACCCGUAACUGUGAAUGUGCAGGAACCCUGACUUGAGAAGGGCCUGGCCACGGGGGGCUUAGGCCCCUGGGGAAUGAGAGUUUGGUUCCCGGUACCCAGGGAAACCACCAGCAUCGGCAGAGGUGAUAGCUGAGGAGGAGCGGGGAUUUGGACGAGAGACACAGGAUGAGUACCGGGGGCAGCCCCGUGAUCAACAACUGCUGCAAGAGGGGCUGUUUGUUCGACUCACUAGUCUUCUGCGGCUCUAUGCGGUACUAAAGAGCAGAAGACAGAAGAUACAAAAACCACAAAAAUUAGCCGGGCGUGGUGCUGCGCGUCAAUAAUCCCAGCUACUCGGGAGGCUGAGACAGGAGAAUCGCUUGAACCCGGGAGGCGGAAGUUUCAGCGAGCCGAGAUCACGCCAUUGCAGUCCAACCUGAGCGUCCGAGCGAGACUCUAUCUCAGAAAAUAAAGACAGGAUGAAAGAGCCCGGCGCGGUGGCUUACGCCUGUAAUCGCAGCGCUUUGGGAGGCCGAGGCGGGCGGAUCGCCUGAGGUCAGGAGCUCCAGACCAGCCUGGCCGACAUGGCGAAACCCCCUAAAAAUACAAAAAUUAGCCGGGCGUGGUGGCCUACGCCUGUAAUCCCAGCUACCCAGGAGGCCGAGGCAGGAGAAUCGCUGGAACCCGGGAGGUAGAGGCUGCAGUGAGCCGACAUCGCGCCACUGCACUCCAGCCUGGGCGACAGAGCAAGAGUUUGUCUCUCAAAAAAAAAAAAAAAGAAAAAAGAAAAAAAGCCUGGGUGAGCGGUGGCUCAAGCCUGUAAUCGCAAGCAACACUUUGGGAGGCGGCAGCUGGGCAGAUCACCGGAGGUCGGGAGUUGGAGACCAGCCUGACCAACAUGGAGAAACCCCGUCUGUACUAAAAAUACAAACUUAGCCGGGCGUGGUGGCACAUGCCCGUAGUCCCAGCUGCUCGGGAGGCUGAGGCAGGGGAAUCGCUUGAACCCGGGAGGCGGAGGUUGCAGAGAGCCUAGAUCGCGCCAUUGGACUCCAGGCUGGGUAACAAGAGCGGAACCUCCGUCUGAAAAAAAAAAAAAAAAGAAAAAAAUUGGGAGAAUUUUACUCCCACUGCCAUCAAAAUCUCAUGUGUAUAGCACAGCUCCAUUAGAACUGACCACAUUUCCAGGGCUCCCUAGAUACCUGUGGCUAGCGGCUGCCAUACUACACCGUGCUGGGCUGUAGAAUGGGGAUGACAAGACAGGGCGGCGGAGAUUGGGUUGGCGUGAAGUGAGGGAAACACUCGGCCGCAGGACAAAAAUAAAACAGCAAGGGGGCACCGAAAGACUCAGUAGUCCACAUGAAUAUCUUGAUUACCUUGUAGCUGAGAUAAUGUAGGGUCCACCCCUACCGGGUCUGUGGGUUUUCUCUUCGUGUGUGUGCGCGGAGACGAGAGAUCGUAGAGAUAAAGACAGAAGACAAAGAGAUAGGAAGAAAGACAGCUGGGCCCGGGGGACCACUGCCACCAAAGCGUGGAGGCAGACAGGUAGUGGCCCCGAAUGCCUGGAGGCGCUGCUAUUUAUUGUAGUCAAGGCAAGGGGGCAGGGUAAGGAGUGCCAGUCAUCUCCAAUGAUCGAUAGGUCACGCGAGUCACGUGUCCACUGGACAGGGGGCCUUUCCCUUUGUGGUAGCCGAGGUGGAGAGGGAGGACAGCAAACGUCAGCGUUUCUUCCAUGCACUUAUCAGAAAGAUCGAAGACUGUGGUACUUCUACUAAUUCUGCUACUGCUGUCUUCUAAGGACUUAAAAGGAGGAGCCAGGUGUACAGGCGGAACAUGAAAGUGAACAAGGAGCGUGACCACUGAAGCACAGCAUCACAGGGAGACGUUGAAGCCUCCGGAUGACUGCGGGCCGGCCUGGCUAAUGUCAGACCUCCCACAAGAGGUGGUGGAGCAGAGCGUUCUCUGUCUCCCCUGGAGAGAGGGAGAUUCCCUUUCUCGGUCUGCUAAGUAACGGGUGCCUUCCCAGGCACUGGGGCCACCGCUAGACCAAGGCCUGCUAAGUAACCAGGGCCUUCCCAGGCACUGGCAUUACCGCUAGGCCAAGGAGCCCUCCAGCGGCCCUUCUCUGGGCGUGAAUGAGGGCUCACGCUCUUGUCUUCUGGUCACCUCUCACUGUGGCCCUUCAGCUCCUAACUCUGUGUGGCCUGGUUUCCCCCAAGGUAAUCAUAAUAGAACAGAGAUUAUUAUGGUAAUAGAACAAAGAGUAAUGCUACAAACUAAUGAUUAAUAAUAGUCAGAUAUAAUCCUAUCCGUUUCCUAUCUCUAGUAAAACUUUUCUUAUUCUAAUUAUUUUCUUUACUAUACUGGAACAGCUUGUGCCUUCAGGCUCUUGCCUGGGCACCUGGGUGGCUUGCGGCCCACAAGAUAAGAUAUAUUGCGUUGAACUAUAAUUUAUGUUGAUUGCUGAAUGAUUUAGGGCGGGGGGGGGGUGGGCGCCCCCUGAAAUUCUGCCCUGGAGCGGUGGCCUCACCCUAACCCUGGCCGUGGCUAAUAAUAAGGCCCACCUCUUAGGGCCGUGGAGUGAAAUAAGUUUUCCAGGUAAUGCGUAGUAAAGCCCUCAGCCCUCCGCUGACGUUGCGUUAGGAAGGAGGAAGGGAGAGGUAAAUGCUGAGCCCGCAGGCGGCAGUCUGUGCCUCGGAGAGAAACUUUAUCCCAACCUUGCUGGGGGCCUUGACGCCCACCUUGCCCCAAGAGCACCCCGGCAGUCACCCCUGCCCUCUGGGGUCCUGCCACCCCGAGCCCGACCUUCCCCCUUUUCCCCCGCGCCGGGCCAACAGCCUCCUAACUGCGUCGUGCUCAUCACGGUCUGUCGUGCUCAUCACCUUUGCGUCGUUUCUUCGCUCCACAAACGUUUACUGAGCGCCUUCCACACGCCAGGCGCCAGACUCGCGCGGGGAAACAGGGAUAAGCACUGAGGAGGGGUCCCAGCCCUCAGCGAUGGGAUCUCAGAGCGGGAGAUAAAGGGUUGCCCAGAAGGGUGGUGAGUGGAAUAGCUGAUAUAAACAACGGGGGCGCGAUGAAAUACACAGGAGGGCUGCUAGUCACAUACGGGGCGGGUGCCGAGGGCCCUUGACUAAGGGAGGCUUCCUGGACGGGUGACACCCAAGCGGAGUCCUGACGACCUGCGUCAGAGGUAGCCAGGCGAGGAGGAGGGGAAAGGAAUCCACGUCCCGAGCAGAGAGGCAGCUUUCCCUACACAGCACAGGACACGGUCCGCGCACAGAAGCCGCAGGAGACGCAGGCACAGGGGCUGGGGAGAAUCCUUGCUGGGCCCUCGCCGCCUCCCUCUGCCGGGUGUCUGGUGCCAGCCUCCUGCCUGGCAGAGGAACUCCAGCCCCUGCUCCCGGAAGCCCCUCCAGGCCUUCGGCUUCCCUGACUGGGCAUGGGCCCCUCGUCCCCUCGGGUACGGGGCCGGUCUCCCCGCCCGCGGGCGGCGAAGUAAAGGCCCAGCGCAGCCCGCGCUCCUGCCCUGGGGCCUCGUCUUUCUCCAGGAAAACGUGGACCGCUCUCCGCCGACAGGUCUCUUCCACAGACCCCCGUCGCCUUCGCCCCCAGUCCCUUCCGGUUCUGUCUUUCCGCUGGCUCCGUACGAACAAGGAAGUCGCCCCCAGCGGAGCCCCGGCUCCCCCAGGCAGAGGCGGCCCCGGGGGCGGAGUCAACGGCGGAGGCCACGCCCUCUGUGAAAGGGCGGGGCAUGCAAAUUCGAAAUGAAAGCCCGGGAACGCCGGAAGAAGCACGGGUGUAAGAUUUCCCUUUUCAAAGGCGGAGAAUGAGAAAUCAGCCCGAGAGUGUAAGGGCGUCAAUAGCGCUGUGGACGAGACAGAGGGAAUGGGGCAAGGAGCGAGGCUGGGGCUCUCACCGCGACUUGAAUGUGGAUGAGAGUGGGACGGUGACGGCGGGCGCGAAGGCGACCGCAUCGCUUCUCGGCCUUUUGGCUAAGAUCAAGUGUAGUAUCUGUUCUUAUCAGUUUAAUAUCUGACACGUCCUCUAUCCGAGGACAAUAUAUUAAAUGGAUUUUUGGAGCAGGGAGAUGGAAUAGGAGCUUGCUCCGUCCACUCCACGCAUCGACCUGGUAUUGCAGUACCUCCAGGAACGGUGCACCCCCUCCGGGGAUACAACGCGUCUCCUAAAAGUAGAGGGAGGUAAGAGACGGUAGCACCUGCGGGGCGGCUUGCACGCCGAGUGCCUGUGACGCGCCGGCUCGACUUAACUGUUUCCCUGAAGUACCGCGAGGUUCCUGAUCUGCGGGCGGUAGACGGUAGGCUUAUGCGGCACGCUUCCGUUUCCACCGUGACUACUGCGCUUCGGGAAGGCCACGACCUACUCCUUUGGGGAGGUCCUUAGGAUCUCGGCUUGGCAGUCGAGUGGGUGGCGACCUUUAAAAGGAAUGGGAUCCACCCGGAAUUGAACUUCCUUCUCCUCUCUCUAUCUCUCUAUCUGUCUGUCUGUCUGUCUGUCUCUGUCUGUCUGUCUGUCUAUCUCUCUCUCUCUCUCUCUCUCUCUCUGUCUCUCUGUCUCUCUGUCUCUCUCUCUCUCUCUCUCUCUCUCUCCCGCCCCGCCUCUCCCCGGCUCUUUUGGUUUCCCCCACCCCCUCCCAAGUUCUGGGGUACAUGUGCAGGACGUGCAGGUUUGGAACAUAGGUACACGUGUGCCACGGUGCUUUGCUGCACCUAGCCACCAGUCGUCUAGGUUUGAAGCCCCGCGUGCGUUGGCUAUUUGGCCUAAUGCUCUCUCUCCCCUUGCCCCCCACGCCCCGUCAGGGCCCGGCGUGUGAUGUUCCCCUCCCUGUGUCCCAUGUGUUCUCACUGUUCAACUCCCACUUAGGAGCGAGAACAUGCGGUGUUUGGUUUUCGCUUUCUGUGUGAGUUUGCUGAGAAUGAGGCCUUCCAGCUUCAUCCACGUUCCCGCAGAGGACAUGAACUCAUCCUUUUUUAUGGCUGCCUAGUAAUUCCAUGGUGUAUACGUGCCACACUUUCUUUAUCCAGCCUAUCAUUCAUGGGCAUUCGAGUUGGUUCCAAGUCUUUGCUAUUGUAAAUAGUGCUGCAGUAAACAUACGUGUCCACGUGUCUUCCUAGUAGGCACUUCUUCCUCUUCAGCCCGCUGAGUAGCUGGCACUUCAAGGCAGGUGCCAACGCACCGGCAGCAAGCUUCCUUUUUUGCCCGGGAAAAACUGAGGUGCAGGUAGUAUAAGCCAUUUAUCACGGAACGCACAGGAGCAGAGCUCGAGUCCAAGCAUCGUGGCUCCACCCGUCAUGCUUGAUGCAUCUUUAGGCUCCGCUCUAGGUAUGUGUAUCCUUUACGGGAUCAGCCACCGGCAGUUGCCUUGCGACCACGAUGACAAAUCUCUGCCGGCUCUUUUGGGUCUCAUCCCUGUAUCUAUACGUUGCAUCCCAACAUAAAGAUCGGAAUGUUCCUUUCGCUGACCCAGUCUCUCACCCUUUCCAAACUCCAGAAAUCUUGUCUGUCCUCGGAAGAACUCCCCCUGCUUCUUUCUCUAAAGGCUGUCUUCAGGCCGGGCACAGUGGGAGGAUCGCUUGAGCCCAGAAGGCCGCAGUGAGGUGAGAUCGCGCCAUUGCCCUGCAGCCCCGGCGGCAGAGCCGGAGCCCCGUCUCGAAACAAACAAACAAAAACCAACCAACCAACCAACACAGACAAAGAAAGAAAGAGCCCAGGCAACCUAGUGAAAACCUGUUCGGGCUGGGGCGUAUCUGUACCCCAGCUGUUCCAGAGGCUGAGGCCAGGAGGAUGGGUGGACGCUGGGAGGUGGAUGCUGCAGUGAGCAGUGAUUGCACCACUGCACUCCAGCCUGGGUGACAGAGCCAGACCCCGUCCCAAAUAAAUAAACAUAAAAAUAAAGGAACCAGUUUGUAGAAAGCGGGAGAGGGUCCCAUUGAACUUGAAGCCUUCGAGCAACAGCUGUGGCUGGACAGGUUGGACCAGCAGGCUGGAGCAGUCGCCAUCUUGGCAGGGAUCAUUGACCCUGAUCUAUCGUCGGGAGGAGGGAGAGCUGAUCUUACGCAGGGAGGGCAGGUGGACUAUGUGUGGACUCUGGUGAUCUGUUUGGGUGCCAGGUGUUACUCCCAGGGCCACCCGUAACUGUGAAUGUGCAGGAACCCUGACUUGAGAAGGGCCUGGCCACGGGGGGCUUAGGCCCCUGGGGAAUGAGAGUUUGGUUCCCGGUACCCAGGGAAACCACCAGCAUCGGCAGAGGUGAUAGCUGAGGAGGAGCGGGGAUUUGGACGAGAGACACAGGAUGAGUACCGGGGGCAGCCCCGUGAUCAACAACUGCUGCAAGAGGGGCUGUUUGUUCGACUCACUAGUCUUCUGCGGCUCUAUGCGGUACUAAAGAGCAGAAGACAGAAGAUACAAAAACCACAAAAAUUAGCCGGGCGUGGUGCUGCGCGUCAAUAAUCCCAGCUACUCGGGAGGCUGAGACAGGAGAAUCGCUUGAACCCGGGAGGCGGAAGUUUCAGCGAGCCGAGAUCACGCCAUUGCAGUCCAACCUGAGCGUCCGAGCGAGACUCUAUCUCAGAAAAUAAAGACAGGAUGAAAGAGCCCGGCGCGGUGGCUUACGCCUGUAAUCGCAGCGCUUUGGGAGGCCGAGGCGGGCGGAUCGCCUGAGGUCAGGAGCUCCAGACCAGCCUGGCCGACAUGGCGAAACCCCCUAAAAAUACAAAAAUUAGCCGGGCGUGGUGGCCUACGCCUGUAAUCCCAGCUACCCAGGAGGCCGAGGCAGGAGAAUCGCUGGAACCCGGGAGGUAGAGGCUGCAGUGAGCCGACAUCGCGCCACUGCACUCCAGCCUGGGCGACAGAGCAAGAGUUUGUCUCUCAAAAAAAAAAAAAAAGAAAAAAGAAAAAAAGCCUGGGUGAGCGGUGGCUCAAGCCUGUAAUCGCAAGCAACACUUUGGGAGGCGGCAGCUGGGCAGAUCACCGGAGGUCGGGAGUUGGAGACCAGCCUGACCAACAUGGAGAAACCCCGUCUGUACUAAAAAUACAAACUUAGCCGGGCGUGGUGGCACAUGCCCGUAGUCCCAGCUGCUCGGGAGGCUGAGGCAGGGGAAUCGCUUGAACCCGGGAGGCGGAGGUUGCAGAGAGCCUAGAUCGCGCCAUUGGACUCCAGGCUGGGUAACAAGAGCGGAACCUCCGUCUGAAAAAAAAAAAAAAAAGAAAAAAAUUGGGAGAAUUUUACUCCCACUGCCAUCAAAAUCUCAUGUGUAUAGCACAGCUCCAUUAGAACUGACCACAUUUCCAGGGCUCCCUAGAUACCUGUGGCUAGCGGCUGCCAUACUACACCGUGCUGGGCUGUAGAAUGGGGAUGACAAGACAGGGCGGCGGAGAUUGGGUUGGCGUGAAGUGAGGGAAACACUCGGCCGCAGGACAAAAAUAAAACAGCAAGGGGGCACCGAAAGACUCAGUAGUCCACAUGAAUAUCUUGAUUACCUUGUAGCUGAGAUAAUGUAGGGUCCACCCCUACCGGGUCUGUGGGUUUUCUCUUCGUGUGUGUGCGCGGAGACGAGAGAUCGUAGAGAUAAAGACAGAAGACAAAGAGAUAGGAAGAAAGACAGCUGGGCCCGGGGGACCACUGCCACCAAAGCGUGGAGGCAGACAGGUAGUGGCCCCGAAUGCCUGGAGGCGCUGCUAUUUAUUGUAGUCAAGGCAAGGGGGCAGGGUAAGGAGUGCCAGUCAUCUCCAAUGAUCGAUAGGUCACGCGAGUCACGUGUCCACUGGACAGGGGGCCUUUCCCUUUGUGGUAGCCGAGGUGGAGAGGGAGGACAGCAAACGUCAGCGUUUCUUCCAUGCACUUAUCAGAAAGAUCGAAGACUGUGGUACUUCUACUAAUUCUGCUACUGCUGUCUUCUAAGGACUUAAAAGGAGGAGCCAGGUGUACAGGCGGAACAUGAAAGUGAACAAGGAGCGUGACCACUGAAGCACAGCAUCACAGGGAGACGUUGAAGCCUCCGGAUGACUGCGGGCCGGCCUGGCUAAUGUCAGACCUCCCACAAGAGGUGGUGGAGCAGAGCGUUCUCUGUCUCCCCUGGAGAGAGGGAGAUUCCCUUUCUCGGUCUGCUAAGUAACGGGUGCCUUCCCAGGCACUGGGGCCACCGCUAGACCAAGGCCUGCUAAGUAACCAGGGCCUUCCCAGGCACUGGCAUUACCGCUAGGCCAAGGAGCCCUCCAGCGGCCCUUCUCUGGGCGUGAAUGAGGGCUCACGCUCUUGUCUUCUGGUCACCUCUCACUGUGGCCCUUCAGCUCCUAACUCUGUGUGGCCUGGUUUCCCCCAAGGUAAUCAUAAUAGAACAGAGAUUAUUAUGGUAAUAGAACAAAGAGUAAUGCUACAAACUAAUGAUUAAUAAUAGUCAGAUAUAAUCCUAUCCGUUUCCUAUCUCUAGUAAAACUUUUCUUAUUCUAAUUAUUUUCUUUACUAUACUGGAACAGCUUGUGCCUUCAGGCUCUUGCCUGGGCACCUGGGUGGCUUGCGGCCCACAAGAUAAGAUAUAUUGCGUUGAACUAUAAUUUAUGUUGAUUGCUGAAUGAUUUAGGGCGGGGGGGGGUGGGCGCCCCCUGAAAUUCUGCCCUGGAGCGGUGGCCUCACCCUAACCCUGGCCGUGGCUAAUAAUAAGGCCCACCUCUUAGGGCCGUGGAGUGAAAUAAGUUUUCCAGGUAAUGCGUAGUAAAGCCCUCAGCCCUCCGCUGACGUUGCGUUAGGAAGGAGGAAGGGAGAGGUAAAUGCUGAGCCCGCAGGCGGCAGUCUGUGCCUCGGAGAGAAACUUUAUCCCAACCUUGCUGGGGGCCUUGACGCCCACCUUGCCCCAAGAGCACCCCGGCAGUCACCCCUGCCCUCUGGGGUCCUGCCACCCCGAGCCCGACCUUCCCCCUUUUCCCCCGCGCCGGGCCAACAGCCUCCUAACUGCGUCGUGCUCAUCACGGUCUGUCGUGCUCAUCACCUUUGCGUCGUUUCUUCGCUCCACAAACGUUUACUGAGCGCCUUCCACACGCCAGGCGCCAGACUCGCGCGGGGAAACAGGGAUAAGCACUGAGGAGGGGUCCCAGCCCUCAGCGAUGGGAUCUCAGAGCGGGAGAUAAAGGGUUGCCCAGAAGGGUGGUGAGUGGAAUAGCUGAUAUAAACAACGGGGGCGCGAUGAAAUACACAGGAGGGCUGCUAGUCACAUACGGGGCGGGUGCCGAGGGCCCUUGACUAAGGGAGGCUUCCUGGACGGGUGACACCCAAGCGGAGUCCUGACGACCUGCGUCAGAGGUAGCCAGGCGAGGAGGAGGGGAAAGGAAUCCACGUCCCGAGCAGAGAGGCAGCUUUCCCUACACAGCACAGGACACGGUCCGCGCACAGAAGCCGCAGGAGACGCAGGCACAGGGGCUGGGGAGAAUCCUUGCUGGGCCCUCGCCGCCUCCCUCUGCCGGGUGUCUGGUGCCAGCCUCCUGCCUGGCAGAGGAACUCCAGCCCCUGCUCCCGGAAGCCCCUCCAGGCCUUCGGCUUCCCUGACUGGGCAUGGGCCCCUCGUCCCCUCGGGUACGGGGCCGGUCUCCCCGCCCGCGGGCGGCGAAGUAAAGGCCCAGCGCAGCCCGCGCUCCUGCCCUGGGGCCUCGUCUUUCUCCAGGAAAACGUGGACCGCUCUCCGCCGACAGGUCUCUUCCACAGACCCCCGUCGCCUUCGCCCCCAGUCCCUUCCGGUUCUGUCUUUCCGCUGGCUCCGUACGAACAAGGAAGUCGCCCCCAGCGGAGCCCCGGCUCCCCCAGGCAGAGGCGGCCCCGGGGGCGGAGUCAACGGCGGAGGCCACGCCCUCUGUGAAAGGGCGGGGCAUGCAAAUUCGAAAUGAAAGCCCGGGAACGCCGGAAGAAGCACGGGUGUAAGAUUUCCCUUUUCAAAGGCGGAGAAUGAGAAAUCAGCCCGAGAGUGUAAGGGCGUCAAUAGCGCUGUGGACGAGACAGAGGGAAUGGGGCAAGGAGCGAGGCUGGGGCUCUCACCGCGACUUGAAUGUGGAUGAGAGUGGGACGGUGACGGCGGGCGCGAAGGCGACCGCAUCGCUUCUCGGCCUUUUGGCUAAGAUCAAGUGUAGUAUCUGUUCUUAUCAGUUUAAUAUCUGACACGUCCUCUAUCCGAGGACAAUAUAUUAAAUGGAUUUUUGGAGCAGGGAGAUGGAAUAGGAGCUUGCUCCGUCCACUCCACGCAUCGACCUGGUAUUGCAGUACCUCCAGGAACGGUGCACCCCCUCCGGGGAUACAACGCGUCUCCUAAAAGUAGAGGGAGGUAAGAGACGGUAGCACCUGCGGGGCGGCUUGCACGCCGAGUGCCUGUGACGCGCCGGCUCGACUUAACUGUUUCCCUGAAGUACCGCGAGGUUCCUGAUCUGCGGGCGGUAGACGGUAGGCUUAUGCGGCACGCUUCCGUUUCCACCGUGACUACUGCGCUUCGGGAAGGCCACGACCUACUCCUUUGGGGAGGUCCUUAGGAUCUCGGCUUGGCAGUCGAGUGGGUGGCGACCUUUAAAAGGAAUGGGAUCCACCCGGAAUUGAACUUCCUUCUCCUCUCUCUAUCUCUCUAUCUGUCUGUCUGUCUGUCUGUCUCUGUCUGUCUGUCUGUCUAUCUCUCUCUCUCUCUCUCUCUCUCUCUGUCUCUCUGUCUCUCUGUCUCUCUCUCUCUCUCUCUCUCUCUCUCCCGCCCCGCCUCUCCCCGGCUCUUUUGGUUUCCCCCACCCCCUCCCAAGUUCUGGGGUACAUGUGCAGGACGUGCAGGUUUGGAACAUAGGUACACGUGUGCCACGGUGCUUUGCUGCACCUAGCCACCAGUCGUCUAGGUUUGAAGCCCCGCGUGCGUUGGCUAUUUGGCCUAAUGCUCUCUCUCCCCUUGCCCCCCACGCCCCGUCAGGGCCCGGCGUGUGAUGUUCCCCUCCCUGUGUCCCAUGUGUUCUCACUGUUCAACUCCCACUUAGGAGCGAGAACAUGCGGUGUUUGGUUUUCGCUUUCUGUGUGAGUUUGCUGAGAAUGAGGCCUUCCAGCUUCAUCCACGUUCCCGCAGAGGACAUGAACUCAUCCUUUUUUAUGGCUGCCUAGUAAUUCCAUGGUGUAUACGUGCCACACUUUCUUUAUCCAGCCUAUCAUUCAUGGGCAUUCGAGUUGGUUCCAAGUCUUUGCUAUUGUAAAUAGUGCUGCAGUAAACAUACGUGUCCACGUGUCUUCCUAGUAGGCACUUCUUCCUCUUCAGCCCGCUGAGUAGCUGGCACUUCAAGGCAGGUGCCAACGCACCGGCAGCAAGCUUCCUUUUUUGCCCGGGAAAAACUGAGGUGCAGGUAGUAUAAGCCAUUUAUCACGGAACGCACAGGAGCAGAGCUCGAGUCCAAGCAUCGUGGCUCCACCCGUCAUGCUUGAUGCAUCUUUAGGCUCCGCUCUAGGUAUGUGUAUCCUUUACGGGAUCAGCCACCGGCAGUUGCCUUGCGACCACGAUGACAAAUCUCUGCCGGCUCUUUUGGGUCUCAUCCCUGUAUCUAUACGUUGCAUCCCAACAUAAAGAUCGGAAUGUUCCUUUCGCUGACCCAGUCUCUCACCCUUUCCAAACUCCAGAAAUCUUGUCUGUCCUCGGAAGAACUCCCCCUGCUUCUUUCUCUAAAGGCUGUCUUCAGGCCGGGCACAGUGGGAGGAUCGCUUGAGCCCAGAAGGCCGCAGUGAGGUGAGAUCGCGCCAUUGCCCUGCAGCCCCGGCGGCAGAGCCGGAGCCCCGUCUCGAAACAAACAAACAAAAACCAACCAACCAACCAACACAGACAAAGAAAGAAAGAGCCCAGGCAACCUAGUGAAAACCUGUUCGGGCUGGGGCGUAUCUGUACCCCAGCUGUUCCAGAGGCUGAGGCCAGGAGGAUGGGUGGACGCUGGGAGGUGGAUGCUGCAGUGAGCAGUGAUUGCACCACUGCACUCCAGCCUGGGUGACAGAGCCAGACCCCGUCCCAAAUAAAUAAACAUAAAAAUAAAGGAACCAGUUUGUAGAAAGCGGGAGAGGGUCCCAUUGAACUUGAAGCCUUCGAGCAACAGCUGUGGCUGGACAGGUUGGACCAGCAGGCUGGAGCAGUCGCCAUCUUGGCAGGGAUCAUUGACCCUGAUCUAUCGUCGGGAGGAGGGAGAGCUGAUCUUACGCAGGGAGGGCAGGUGGACUAUGUGUGGACUCUGGUGAUCUGUUUGGGUGCCAGGUGUUACUCCCAGGGCCACCCGUAACUGUGAAUGUGCAGGAACCCUGACUUGAGAAGGGCCUGGCCACGGGGGGCUUAGGCCCCUGGGGAAUGAGAGUUUGGUUCCCGGUACCCAGGGAAACCACCAGCAUCGGCAGAGGUGAUAGCUGAGGAGGAGCGGGGAUUUGGACGAGAGACACAGGAUGAGUACCGGGGGCAGCCCCGUGAUCAACAACUGCUGCAAGAGGGGCUGUUUGUUCGACUCACUAGUCUUCUGCGGCUCUAUGCGGUACUAAAGAGCAGAAGACAGAAGAUACAAAAACCACAAAAAUUAGCCGGGCGUGGUGCUGCGCGUCAAUAAUCCCAGCUACUCGGGAGGCUGAGACAGGAGAAUCGCUUGAACCCGGGAGGCGGAAGUUUCAGCGAGCCGAGAUCACGCCAUUGCAGUCCAACCUGAGCGUCCGAGCGAGACUCUAUCUCAGAAAAUAAAGACAGGAUGAAAGAGCCCGGCGCGGUGGCUUACGCCUGUAAUCGCAGCGCUUUGGGAGGCCGAGGCGGGCGGAUCGCCUGAGGUCAGGAGCUCCAGACCAGCCUGGCCGACAUGGCGAAACCCCCUAAAAAUACAAAAAUUAGCCGGGCGUGGUGGCCUACGCCUGUAAUCCCAGCUACCCAGGAGGCCGAGGCAGGAGAAUCGCUGGAACCCGGGAGGUAGAGGCUGCAGUGAGCCGACAUCGCGCCACUGCACUCCAGCCUGGGCGACAGAGCAAGAGUUUGUCUCUCAAAAAAAAAAAAAAAGAAAAAAGAAAAAAAGCCUGGGUGAGCGGUGGCUCAAGCCUGUAAUCGCAAGCAACACUUUGGGAGGCGGCAGCUGGGCAGAUCACCGGAGGUCGGGAGUUGGAGACCAGCCUGACCAACAUGGAGAAACCCCGUCUGUACUAAAAAUACAAACUUAGCCGGGCGUGGUGGCACAUGCCCGUAGUCCCAGCUGCUCGGGAGGCUGAGGCAGGGGAAUCGCUUGAACCCGGGAGGCGGAGGUUGCAGAGAGCCUAGAUCGCGCCAUUGGACUCCAGGCUGGGUAACAAGAGCGGAACCUCCGUCUGAAAAAAAAAAAAAAAAGAAAAAAAUUGGGAGAAUUUUACUCCCACUGCCAUCAAAAUCUCAUGUGUAUAGCACAGCUCCAUUAGAACUGACCACAUUUCCAGGGCUCCCUAGAUACCUGUGGCUAGCGGCUGCCAUACUACACCGUGCUGGGCUGUAGAAUGGGGAUGACAAGACAGGGCGGCGGAGAUUGGGUUGGCGUGAAGUGAGGGAAACACUCGGCCGCAGGACAAAAAUAAAACAGCAAGGGGGCACCGAAAGACUCAGUAGUCCACAUGAAUAUCUUGAUUACCUUGUAGCUGAGAUAAUGUAGGGUCCACCCCUACCGGGUCUGUGGGUUUUCUCUUCGUGUGUGUGCGCGGAGACGAGAGAUCGUAGAGAUAAAGACAGAAGACAAAGAGAUAGGAAGAAAGACAGCUGGGCCCGGGGGACCACUGCCACCAAAGCGUGGAGGCAGACAGGUAGUGGCCCCGAAUGCCUGGAGGCGCUGCUAUUUAUUGUAGUCAAGGCAAGGGGGCAGGGUAAGGAGUGCCAGUCAUCUCCAAUGAUCGAUAGGUCACGCGAGUCACGUGUCCACUGGACAGGGGGCCUUUCCCUUUGUGGUAGCCGAGGUGGAGAGGGAGGACAGCAAACGUCAGCGUUUCUUCCAUGCACUUAUCAGAAAGAUCGAAGACUGUGGUACUUCUACUAAUUCUGCUACUGCUGUCUUCUAAGGACUUAAAAGGAGGAGCCAGGUGUACAGGCGGAACAUGAAAGUGAACAAGGAGCGUGACCACUGAAGCACAGCAUCACAGGGAGACGUUGAAGCCUCCGGAUGACUGCGGGCCGGCCUGGCUAAUGUCAGACCUCCCACAAGAGGUGGUGGAGCAGAGCGUUCUCUGUCUCCCCUGGAGAGAGGGAGAUUCCCUUUCUCGGUCUGCUAAGUAACGGGUGCCUUCCCAGGCACUGGGGCCACCGCUAGACCAAGGCCUGCUAAGUAACCAGGGCCUUCCCAGGCACUGGCAUUACCGCUAGGCCAAGGAGCCCUCCAGCGGCCCUUCUCUGGGCGUGAAUGAGGGCUCACGCUCUUGUCUUCUGGUCACCUCUCACUGUGGCCCUUCAGCUCCUAACUCUGUGUGGCCUGGUUUCCCCCAAGGUAAUCAUAAUAGAACAGAGAUUAUUAUGGUAAUAGAACAAAGAGUAAUGCUACAAACUAAUGAUUAAUAAUAGUCAGAUAUAAUCCUAUCCGUUUCCUAUCUCUAGUAAAACUUUUCUUAUUCUAAUUAUUUUCUUUACUAUACUGGAACAGCUUGUGCCUUCAGGCUCUUGCCUGGGCACCUGGGUGGCUUGCGGCCCACAAGAUAAGAUAUAUUGCGUUGAACUAUAAUUUAUGUUGAUUGCUGAAUGAUUUAGGGCGGGGGGGGGGUGGGCGCCCCCUGAAAUUCUGCCCUGGAGCGGUGGCCUCACCCUAACCCUGGCCGUGGCUAAUAAUAAGGCCCACCUCUUAGGGCCGUGGAGUGAAAUAAGUUUUCCAGGUAAUGCGUAGUAAAGCCCUCAGCCCUCCGCUGACGUUGCGUUAGGAAGGAGGAAGGGAGAGGUAAAUGCUGAGCCCGCAGGCGGCAGUCUGUGCCUCGGAGAGAAACUUUAUCCCAACCUUGCUGGGGGCCUUGACGCCCACCUUGCCCCAAGAGCACCCCGGCAGUCACCCCUGCCCUCUGGGGUCCUGCCACCCCGAGCCCGACCUUCCCCCUUUUCCCCCGCGCCGGGCCAACAGCCUCCUAACUGCGUCGUGCUCAUCACGGUCUGUCGUGCUCAUCACCUUUGCGUCGUUUCUUCGCUCCACAAACGUUUACUGAGCGCCUUCCACACGCCAGGCGCCAGACUCGCGCGGGGAAACAGGGAUAAGCACUGAGGAGGGGUCCCAGCCCUCAGCGAUGGGAUCUCAGAGCGGGAGAUAAAGGGUUGCCCAGAAGGGUGGUGAGUGGAAUAGCUGAUAUAAACAACGGGGGCGCGAUGAAAUACACAGGAGGGCUGCUAGUCACAUACGGGGCGGGUGCCGAGGGCCCUUGACUAAGGGAGGCUUCCUGGACGGGUGACACCCAAGCGGAGUCCUGACGACCUGCGUCAGAGGUAGCCAGGCGAGGAGGAGGGGAAAGGAAUCCACGUCCCGAGCAGAGAGGCAGCUUUCCCUACACAGCACAGGACACGGUCCGCGCACAGAAGCCGCAGGAGACGCAGGCACAGGGGCUGGGGAGAAUCCUUGCUGGGCCCUCGCCGCCUCCCUCUGCCGGGUGUCUGGUGCCAGCCUCCUGCCUGGCAGAGGAACUCCAGCCCCUGCUCCCGGAAGCCCCUCCAGGCCUUCGGCUUCCCUGACUGGGCAUGGGCCCCUCGUCCCCUCGGGUACGGGGCCGGUCUCCCCGCCCGCGGGCGGCGAAGUAAAGGCCCAGCGCAGCCCGCGCUCCUGCCCUGGGGCCUCGUCUUUCUCCAGGAAAACGUGGACCGCUCUCCGCCGACAGGUCUCUUCCACAGACCCCCGUCGCCUUCGCCCCCAGUCCCUUCCGGUUCUGUCUUUCCGCUGGCUCCGUACGAACAAGGAAGUCGCCCCCAGCGGAGCCCCGGCUCCCCCAGGCAGAGGCGGCCCCGGGGGCGGAGUCAACGGCGGAGGCCACGCCCUCUGUGAAAGGGCGGGGCAUGCAAAUUCGAAAUGAAAGCCCGGGAACGCCGGAAGAAGCACGGGUGUAAGAUUUCCCUUUUCAAAGGCGGAGAAUGAGAAAUCAGCCCGAGAGUGUAAGGGCGUCAAUAGCGCUGUGGACGAGACAGAGGGAAUGGGGCAAGGAGCGAGGCUGGGGCUCUCACCGCGACUUGAAUGUGGAUGAGAGUGGGACGGUGACGGCGGGCGCGAAGGCGACCGCAUCGCUUCUCGGCCUUUUGGCUAAGAUCAAGUGUAGUAUCUGUUCUUAUCAGUUUAAUAUCUGACACGUCCUCUAUCCGAGGACAAUAUAUUAAAUGGAUUUUUGGAGCAGGGAGAUGGAAUAGGAGCUUGCUCCGUCCACUCCACGCAUCGACCUGGUAUUGCAGUACCUCCAGGAACGGUGCACCCCCUCCGGGGAUACAACGCGUCUCCUAAAAGUAGAGGGAGCUUAUGCCUUCAGUCUCUUUCCUCGGCACCUGGGUGGCUUUCUGCCCACACUGACUGAGCCAAGUGAAUGGAAAGUAAGUCACACUCUGGUGAUAUACACGUGGUAAACGUGAAUGCAGUGAUCUUCAUACCAUAUCUACUGAGCCACGUGAAUCAAAAAAUAGACUCAGCAGAGUGAUGUUCAUGAGGAGUCGGAGGUCACUGCUUGGCUCACAGGAAUAAACGGGAUCAGUCUGUGUUCCACCAGAUUGUGGGACUUCAUAAGAGACAGGUUUCAUUCAAGAUAAGUGGACCCAGCUGUUUAUUCCCAGAAGUUUAACUAUAGCUGGCAUACUGAGGAGAACUUGAUAGGGUCCCUUCCAUUUUGGGGAAAGUUGAUCUUCUGGGAAUAGUUCCAAAUUUCUAACAGGACUCAAUCUCCUGGCUGGGUUGUAACAAGAGUCUCUUUCUUAGUGGGGGAAGGGAGUCUUUGGUUUCCAUAUUUAAGGAGUGCAUUUUGCAUUUGUUCUAAGUUGAUCACAUAAUUCUGUAGCUUGAAAGUACCUAUGUCUAUUAGGAGGUCUGUAGUUAAGAAACGCCUUCCAUACAUAAUUUCAAAACUGGUGAGCCGUAGAUUUCCCUUAGGAGCCACUCAAACACGUAAUAAGGCUAUAGGUAAUAAAGACAGCCAGGUUUCUGAUAUCUCCUGGCAUAGUUUAGCAAGAGUCCUUUUUAGAGCUUGAUUAGCUCUUUCUACUUUCCCUGAAGACUGUGGCCUCCAUGCCGAGUGAAGGCGAUACUGAAUUCCUAGGGCUGAAGAUACAUUUUGGGUAACUGUCACUGUGAAACAUGGCCAAUGAUUGCUCUGUAAACUCUUAGGCAGACCAAAUCUAAGACUUAUUUCCUUUAACAGGAGUUUAGAAACUUCAAUUGCCUUUUCAGACCAGGUAGGAAAAGCCUGAACCAACAAGUAAAGGUGUUAAUGACUAAUAAUAAAUAUUUCAACCCUUUACAUAGGGGCAUCUGAGUAUAGUCUAUUUGUCAGUCUUCAACAAGGUACAUUCCCCUAUGCUAAACAGGACUUAUUAGGGGAGGAGGUAAAGAUUGGUUAUUUGGGUUAUUCUGGGCACAUAGGUCACAGGCCCGAGUUACCUGCUUACCGUUUUAAGUAAGUCUUUUCCUACAAAAAGCCUGGGCAUUAAUUAAAACAGGGAAUCUCUUUCCAGAUGAGUAGAGAGAGUCAUGCAAAUACUUAGCUAUUUUCCACUGAUUAGCACCUGGUAGUAACAGCUUGUUGUCAUUGAUAAGCCAGCCAGAAGGAUCUGGAAUUAAACCCUGACCUUUAGCCCAUUCUUGUUCCUCUUCAGUAUACCCAGGUUCUGUCAUUACCAUGGCUGAGGGCACUAACAUGCCGACAGGUCCAACUAGCUCCUUUAAUGCUGCUGUCUUAGCAGCUGCAUCUGCAAAGGAGUUUCCCUUAGCCGCACUAGAGUCUCCUUUUUGAUGUCCUCUGCAAUGGAUUAGAGCUACUUCCUUGGGCAGCAAAACAGCACCCAAUAGAUUCCGAAUUUCUAAGUGAUGUUUUAUAGGGGGACCCUUAGCAGUUGGAAGGCCCUGUUCCUUCCAGAUAGCAGAAUGAGCAUGAAGUGCCAGAAAGGCAUACUUAGAAUCAGUAUAAAUGUUAAUUAUUAAGUCCUUUCCCAAUUGCAGGGCUCUAUUAGGAGCUAUUAAUUCAGGCCAGGCACGGUGGCUCCUGCCUGUAAUCCCAGCACUUUGGGUGGCUGAGGUGGGCGGAUCACCUGAGGUUGGGAGUUCAAGACCAGCCUGACCAACAUGGAGACACCCCAUCUCCAAUAAAAAAAUGCAAAAUUAGCCGGGUGUGGUGGUGCAUGCCUGUAAUCCCAGCUACUCAGAAGGCUGAGGCAGGAGAAUUGCUUGAACCUGGGAGGUGGAGGUUGCGGUGAGCCGAGAUUGUGCCAUUGCACUCCAGCCUGGGCAACAAGAGCAAAACUCCAUCUCAAAAAAUAAAUAAAUAAAUAAAUAAAUAAAUAAAUAAAUAAAUAAAGCUGUUAAUUCUCCCUUUUGAGCUGAUGUAGAAGCUGGUAAGGCCUGAGAUUCAAUUACCUCGUGUUUACUGACAACAGCACACCCAGCUUUUCUGUUUCCCUGGUGCACAAAGCUGUGGGGAAAAGAAAGAUCAGAUUGUUACUGUGUCUGUGUAGAAAGAGGUAGACAUAGGAGACUCCAUUUUGUUCUGUACUAAGACAAAUUCUUCUGCCUUGAGAUGCUGUUAAUCUAUAACCUUACCCCCAACCCCGUGCUCUCUGAGACAUGUGCUGUGUCAACUCAGGGUUAAAUGGAUUAAGGGCGGUGCAAGAUGUGCUUUGUUAAACAGAUGCUUGAAGGCAGCAUGCUCCUUAAGAGUCAUCACCACUCCCUAAUCUCCAGUACCCAGGGACACAAACACUGCAGAAGGCCACAGGGACCUCUGCCUAGGAAAGCCAGGUAUUGUCCAAGGUUUCUCCCCAUGUGAUAGUCUGAAAUAUGGCCUCGUGGGAAGGGAAAGACCUGACUGUCCCCCAGCCCGACACCCGUAAAGGGUCUGUGCUGAGGAGGAUUAGUAUAAGACGAAGGCAUGCCUCUUUGCAGUUGAGACAAGAGGAAGGCAUCUGUCUCCUGCCCGUCCCUGGGCAAUGGAAUGUCUCGGUAUAAAACCCGAUUGUAUGUUCCAUCUACUGAGAUAGGGGAAAACCGCCUUAGGGCUGGAGGUGGGACAUGCGGGCAACAAUACUGCUCUGUAAGGCAUUGAGAUGUUUAUGUGUAUGCAUAUCUAAAGCACAGCACUUAAUUCUUUACCUUGUCUAUGAUGCAGAGACCUUUGUUCACGUGUUUAUCUGCUGACCUUCUCUCCACUACUAUCCUAUGACCCUGCCACAUCCCCCUCUCUGAGAAACACCCAAAAAUGAUCAAUAAAUACUAAGGGAACUCAGAGGCUGGCGGCAUCCUCCAUAUGCUGAACGCUGGUUCCCUGGGUCCCCUUAUUUCUUUCUCUAUACUUUGUCUCUGUGUCUUUUUCUUUUCCAAGUCUCUCGUUCCACCUAAUGAGAAACACCCACAGGUGUGGAGGGGCAACCCACCCCUUCACAAAGCUAUUUCCAUCUGUAAACCAUUCUACUUUGGGAUUAUCUAGAGGCUCAUCUUUUAAAUGUGGACAGCUGGAGUAAACUUGCUCCAUAACUUGUAUCCAAGAAUGAUCUGGGGUGCCUGUGGGUUCAGGCAAGUAGGUAGCUGGAUUAAAAUCUGGCAUACUUUAAGUGUUAUAUCAGCAGCAUCUAGCAACAAAGCCUGGUAUUUAUUCACAGGAAAGGAGAAGAAGCAAUUUCUGUCUGCCUUGUCAUUUCCAAAACAUACUACUGUUUGCAGCUGAGUUAAUAAAUCCCUUCCCAACAAGGGUGGGGCAUUCAGGAGAAAACCAAAGUCCCUGAAGAGCAGCUUAAAGGAUAGGUAAAAUGGCAUCUAUGGGCCUGUCUAUCCCCUUGACCAUACAGCUUUGGGAUGACAGAGGCCCAUUAUAAUGGGUCAAAACAGAGUAAGCAUUCUAGAAGGAAGUUAAUAUUAUUACCUGUCAUGUCAAGGGUUAUCUGAGGCUUCUCAGAAGAUAUGGCUAGUUGUCCGACCGGAGGUGUGGUGGAAGGUCUCCGGCCCCAUCACUCUUGGGCUUGCCUGGUUAUUUUGGCAUCUGAUUUGGGUGCAGAUAGCUGCUGUAAGGUACAUGGAUGUGCUUUGGUCAAGGAAUAGCCCGAGGCAGAUAUCCAGGCCUGCAUGACUCAGUGAGACUGCUGCACAGGCACUCACCUCCACUUGUUAUAUAACCUGUUUGUGUAAGCUCAUACUUGGCUCUACACCACUACUGUCUGUAAAAGGAAUAACUGCCCUGCUGACACUGUGCACGGGGACUCAACAUGGCUCAGCAUGGCUCUUGUGCAGGCACUGGUGCCCAGAAAGAGAGUGAAGCUACUGACCCCUGUAAGGGAGAAUGACUGUCUGGCAGGUGGAUAGAGGGGAGCCAGGACAUGGCUCAGCUUGUGCCCAGAGAGAAAGGUUAAGCUACUGAUCUUAGAGCUGGCCUUGCAGACCAGUUGUGCAGCUGUGAGUGGGAGCUAGCUGCUGAGAGGAUCCAGAGUCAGAGCAGACAGCCAAGAUAAAGGCAAACAGUAUAAAAGAGCUAGUGUGAGAGAACUGCUGAUGAGAGAGCUGCUGAAUAAAACUACAUUUCACCUGUCUACAGCCCCCCGAAUGUUCUUUCAGCUAUUCAUCUAUCCAUCCACUCCUCUCAGACCUCAGCAUGGGCUGCACCCUAACCCUGGGCAUGACAUUUGUCAUAGUCACGGCCCUGGACCUAACAGCUCCCUUUGGAGGAAGACUGGGCAAUCCCUUUUCCAAUGACCAGUUUCCUUACAGUGUGCACACUGAUUCAUGCCCAAAACACACUGACUUGGACACCCAGCUUUGGGCUUCCCACAUUUCAGCUUCCCUUGUUCACUCCAAGAGCCAGGAAAGAAACUCUAUGUAGGAGGUGAGCUUAAGGCUGCAGCCAAGAGCUGCACCUUGUGGGAGGUCCUUCUUGCUCCUCUUUCUGCUUCCUGUGCUUUGUCCCCGUUAUUAAAAACUAAAAAUGCCAUAUCCAAAAGCUGUUUCAUAGGAGUCUAGGGACACAUAGUCACAUAGUGGGUUUUUUUUUUUUUUUAGACACAGUCUCGCUCUGUCACCCAGGCUGGAGUGCAAUAGCAUGAUCUGGGCAGACUGCAACUUCCACCUCAUGGGUUCAAGCAAUUCUCCUGCCUCAGCCUCCCAAGUAGGUGAGAUUACAGGCACUUGUCACCAUCCCCAGCUAAUUUUUGUAUUUUUAGUAGAGAAGGGGUUUCACCAUGCUGGCCAGGCUGGUCUUGAACUCCUGACCUCAAGUGAUCCACCCCCCUCAGCCUCCCAAAGUGCUGGGAUUACAGGCUUGAGCCACCACGCCUGGCUCCCAUAGCUGCUUUUUGUAGUUUCCUGGGGAUAUCAGGGGCAAACUGGGUCAUAAAAUGUCCUCCCAAAAGGGUUUGUCUUUCCUUUGAGGCAGGAUCAGUGAUAUUAUACUUCCCGAUUGCUUCAACUAAAUGCCCUUGAAACAAACCUGGAUUCUCAUCUUUAUCCUGAGAAUCUUCCUUAACCUGUUCAUAGAUAACAGGCUUUUUCAUACAUUUCUUCAUCCCUUCCAAUGAACAAGUGACCAUAUGAUCUCUCCUCCCCAAGUCCUCACUGCCCCUUUAAUAAUUCCACUCUGCAUCUUGAUCUGGAACUGCUAUACUUCCUGCCUGAUACAUAGUAUGGUACGGGUUGCAAGCCAAUACCUCAUCUGCAUGGGUCCUAGCUGUCCCCAAAAUGCAUUGUUUCUCCUCCACUGUACAACACAGAGACAACAAAACAUGCAGAUCCUCCCAAGUUAAACUAUAGGUCAGAGUUGAUUUCUCAAACUCAUCUAUAAAUUUUCCUGGAUCUUCAGAGAAAUGACCAACCUUCUCUAUACAUAGGGUCAAAUCAGACGGAGAAAAGGGAACAUGUACUCUCACAGUGCCCUCUUCCCGAUUUGCCACCUAAGUGGACAAAGAUUUCCCUUCGGAGGUUGAUAGGAGGCUGCACUAUGAGUUGUACUCGGUGGGCUAAGUUCUUUAUGGGAAUGGUGGGUACAGAGUGGGACUAGCUGGGUAAGGAGAAGGGAUGAAGCGUUCUCAAGAACUUUCAGGUGGACUACAGGGAGAAAGAACUGACACAUACGAACCUUCAGAGCUGACAGAAAGGGGUUCCGCUCCACCCAAAAAUGCCUGCUGAACCACACAGCAGGGCUUGCAUUAAAGGAUCACCUAGUAUGUCUAGAUCUUUUUCUUCUUUUCCUCUCAUCAAACAUGAUUCACAUUAUCCAAAUAACAUAAGUGAGCUGAGCCAUGAAUCUUAGAUAAACCACAACAUGGACUUUGAAACAAAUGUCGAAUAAGGCAAAAUAAAUGAAGAGGACUUAGAUGGGAACAACCAGAGUAACCAAUAACAGCAGUGAGGAUUGGAAAAGCAAAGCAAACACGGUUUGCCCGAAUCCAAGAAAAGAAAGAAGUUUUUCGAUUUUCUUUUGAGACAGUCUUGCUCUGCUGAGAAGGCUGCUGGAGUGCAGUGGUGCAAUCUCGGCUAACUGCAAACUCUGACUCCUAGAUUAAAGCGAUUCUCCUGACUCAGCAUCCCAAGAAGCUGGGAUUACAGAUGUCCGCCACCACACCCGGGUAAUGUUUGUAUUUUUAGUAGAGACGGGGUUUCACCACGUUGGCCAGGAUGGUCUCGAACUCCUGAUUUCAGGUGAUCUGCCUCCCUCGGCCUCCCAAAGUGCUGGGAUUACAAGAGUGAGCCACCGCACUUAGCUACAAAGGAGUUUUUUUAGUGUGCAAAACCAAACAAAACAGCAAGGAGAAAAGUCCCCUGAUUUCCAUCCUAGUGCUUCUCAAUCACACUCAGCAUAGCAGCAACAAAACACAACCACAUCUAUCGAAUCUUAUUGCUCACAGCUGUUAAAUAUCAAAUCUCAAUCAGCAAUUUUAGAGACGGAUCCUCCAAUGCUUUUGGUUCCCAGUGUUUCACAAGCAAACGGACAGAAAUCGGGAGGGACACAGGAGAAGAAUCAGUUAAAAUCCCUAAGACCAGUUAAAUGAAGUCUCCUGAAAAUGACACUGAAACGGAGACAGCAACCAAGACAAGGAGGACGAGGCAGAUUAACACAAAGAGCAUAGCCUGCGGUGUCAAACCUGUUUUUUAGCCGAGAGGGACUUUACUGAGAGGGGCCUCUAACCCUCCUCGAUCCGGCCUCUAACCUGAGGUCGGUCAAGCGUCCUUGCCUUUUGUUAAGAGGGGCCUCUAACCCACUCUCUUUUAGGAAAGACUCUAACUCCAUUAAAUUGGGCCUCUAACCCAAUCCCAUUCUUUACCCGGGCACUCCACCACUUACCCAAAGUCGUCCAAUCAGUGCUGCAGUCUACUUCCUUUGGGUUGGGGGAGUUUCUUCAGUAUCGUCCCUUCCGUCGUUCGCCAGAAAUAUGUUAUAGGACCCCAACACUUCCCCAAAGCACUAUAGUCCCAUCUGUGGCGGCCAGAAAUACGUCACAGGAAAAGGGCCCCGAUCCAGUCCCAAAGAGAGGGUUCUUGGGUCUCGCGCAAGAAAUAACUCAGGGCGAGUCCGCGGUGCAAAAUAAAAGCAAGUUUAUUAAGAAAGUAAAGUGGUGAAAGAACAGCUACUCCAUAGACAGAGAAGGGCGUUCCCGAAACUAAGAGAAGGAACGUAUCCACCCUAGGUACAAUGCUUGUAUACAUGGGGAGAGGUGCUCUGCUACAAGGGUUUGUGAUAAAGAAUUAACUUUAAUUAUUACAUUUUGCAAGAAUCCCUAUUACUACCUUUAAAGCAAAAUUAGGAACGCCUUUGUUCUCCAGAUAUCCAGCUAUCUGGACACUCGGGUCUCUUCAGUAAACAUUAAUUUGUUCCCUUAACCGUAAGCAUCUGAAAGCUAGGAAUAUCCUUCUGAGAAUGCAGGCCCGUAAGUCCCGGCCUCAUUUUUCUAGCCCUCACUCAAAAUGGGGUCGCUUCAGGUUCCAACGCCUCUGACAGUCAUACUACAUAUGACUCAGCCACGUCAAUGGAAAAAGUAGACUGGAUAGUGACGUACCCGCAGAAAACGAAUGCAACAAUCUGUCAUACAGAUCUGACGGCAGUCAGAUUCUGCAGUGAAGUAGAGGCGGUAAACUUGAAUGCAAGGAUCUUCAUACCGCAUCCUACAAAGCCACGUAAAUCCAAAAGCAGUCCGACUCUGGAUAGUGAAACACAUGCGGUAAACUUGAAUGGAAAGAUGUUUAUACUGCCUCGGAUAGAGACACGUAAAUGAAAAAGCAGUCCCACUUGGGAUAGUGAAGUAUGGGCGCUCAACUUAAAUAGGACCGUCCGCAUAUCGUAUGUGAGUGAACCAAGUAAUAGGAAAGGGCAGUCAGAUUACGGAGACCGAUGGCGACUGAAGUGAGUGCAGUAACCUUUAACUCAAUGACCGUCACGCCUCAACCAAAUGAAACCGAAAGCAACUAAGCUCUCCAAAGCACGCCCGACCAGCUCAAAAACUACGGCGCUGAUGGACCCCAGAGAUCCGACGUAAAGGUGCAAACGUAAAGCGCACGCGGGCAAUUUAAAAGCAGCGGCGCAGAUAGGCCCCGACGAACCGAGGUGAACGCGUAGAACGUGUAGAACGUAGGCGCGUUGAGGUUAAAUACGCGAGUGAAAACCGGAUUUAAACGUGUAAACGCAACACACAACCUACGAGGUCAGUAACAACGGUCCCAACUGGUACAAACGGACCAAUAUAAACAAGUUCAGUAUCUCCCGUUAGCGACGGUAAGAGAUAAUAAGCGCCCUACGCGAAUAAAACA